rnacentral:lncRNA from 1 species
UCUUCUCUAUCUCUCUGGUCAUAGCACACGUAUGAUUUGGUGCUUUUUUGCAGGCUUUCAACAGCAGAAAAGCAUCUGGAGGCUUGCAGUACUAAUCUCUUGCAUUAUAUUCUCUGUUUUGCAAUCAUUUGGUACUUUUUGUCCCAACCAAGGAUAGCUCUGUGCAAGCAGUCUCGACUGUGGAACAAGUAAAACAAAUGGUACCUGCUGAAGCUGAGAGGGCAGAUGAUAAAUUGGUGCGGAAGUUGGUCAACCAAAAGAAUCAGACAGCAAAAACUAAAAAGCCCAUGAAGCCUGCUACUGAAGCGAUCUCAGCACCUGUUUCUAGGAGGGGUGAGAUUGAAGCGACUGAAGAAAAGGAGCAUGAGCAAACAAAGAAGGAAGAGGAGUUGGCCAGGAAGGUAGAGGAAUUGAGAAGUGAAGAAGAAGCAGCCAUGUUGAAGGAGCAAAGUCUGUCGGAGGAGAAAGCCAACGUUAAGGAGGCACUGGAAAGGAAACAAGGAACUGCAGAAAAGGCCAAUUUCUCUGUGAGUGCUGCCACCUUUUCAUAAUAAUGGAUGUUAAAAGCAGUCUAACUCUACAUGGCGUUUAUUUUCCCCAGCCAUGGAUUGGAAUCUGCCAGUCUAACUCUCAUAAGAAAGAAAAUUUUCCAUCCUCGUAUGGAUUAUUGGAGAAGAUUUUAACAUGGAGUUCACUAGAGAGUUUCAAACACCCACUCAAAAAGGACAUUUUAGAGAACUUAUUGAAAAGUUACAUCAGAGUACAUAAAUUUUUAGAUAUUUUUAAAAAUAUCUGAAAAAUUAAAUUAACUAAAAGUAUUUGAAAAAUAUUUGAUUGAAUUAAUAAAUAACUAGUAUUUGCAUAUGAAAAAAUAGUAAACAUAGUCAAUAAUAUUUUUUUUUUAAUAAUUAGCACAUAAUAAUCAUAAAUUAUUUUAUGGCAAGACCUCAUAUUUGUUGUGGUGACUGUGUUGUCUUACCAUUCUUCUUUCAUGAUGGGCUUAAAUUUUAAUUUAAAUGUAGUAUAAAUAUAUAAUUAGAUUGAUAUUUCGUCCACUAGAAUUGAUUGGGGCUGAAUUUGAACCCUGGUUCGAGUCAUACUCCCAUCCAAUCCAAACUUGUGGUUGGGCUUGAAUUUCUUGGCCCAACCAGCGAAAUCAUUGACCAACGGCCCUUAGUUUGGGCUGGGCUUGAUGGUCCUCAGGUUAUGCAGGCUUAAUACUGAUUGGGUUUGGGCUUCCAUGCAGUUGUACUUGGAUUCUAUGUUUCCUAAUAUUAACACUAAAUUAGGUUUCAUUUAUAAUUAAAUAUAAUUAGUUUGAGACUAACUCCAAUCUUUAGUUAAACCAACUAAGUUUUAUGCAAAGGUUUAUAUUCCUAAUACCAUUGAAAAACUAAAUUUAUGUGGAAGUUUGACUAAGUGAUACCGACAUUAAAUUAUUAAGAUAAAUUGAAAAAAAAAAAAUCAUGCUCGUAUGUCCUGUUGUUUGUCAUAAGAAAAUUUCUUUUCAGAUUUUUUUUUUCUUUUAAUAUAUCUUUACUUUUUUAAUAACAAUCCAUAGGAUUGUUCCCAAACAUAUAUCAUAUAAAUAUAUCUUUUUUGGAUUUUUAAGAAUGUUGUCAAACAAACUCAUAAUACCAUUCUUUCUUAACAAUUACCAAUCCAUAUGACGAAUUUAUUACUUUCAAUAACUGACAUCAUCUAAUCAAAAUUAUAAUUAUAAUUAUAAUUAUAAUUAUAAUUAAGUAUUAUAUUAAAAGAGUGUUUGAUAAAUCAAUUUAAUAACUUAAAUUAAUUUAAUAACUUAAUUUAAAUUAUUAAAAUAAUUUGAUGUCACAAUUUAAAGUUAAAAAUGACUUAAUUUAUUUUUAUUUAAAUUUAAAAUUAUGUUUACAAAAAAGGUUUAAAAUUCAUAUCAAUUAAGAGAUUAAGUCAUUGAAUUACUUUAAGUCAUUAAAUUGAUCUACCAAUUAAAGUUCACCUCCUACAUAUCAUGAAAAUUAAAAAUUAAUUACAACAUCAAGAAUCUUUAGUUCCUAAUCGAUAUAAUAUUUAAUCCUUGGUUGUAAAUUUCUUUACAUAUGUAGAUAUAUUUUUAUAUUGCAAGUGGGUUGCCGACUUUUCAUUUUAUACUAGUUUUGAAAAUAAGAUUGUAGUUUUUAUUUUGUCCAAAUCUAAUUUGGAGGGAGAAUCUUUUAUAUUCAAAUAGGAAAAAUUUAAGUUUAAUAGUCCCACCUUAUAAAGGCAAAUAUCUUGGACCCUACAUGGGUGCCUCUUACAUGCACAAGGACAAAGACUUUUCAAUUUCUUUCUAGAUUUUUUUUUUCUUUUUGUUCUUUUCAAUUCUAGAUAUUUUAAUAUAUCUUUACUUUUUCAAAAACAAUCCCAAACAUUUUUUAAGAUUGAUUUUUAAGAAUGUUAUCAAACAAACUCAUAAUAGCAUUUUUUUCUUUACAAUUACCAAUUCAUAUGAUGAAUUUAUUACUUUCAAUAACCGACAUCAUCUAAUCAAAAUUAUAAUUAAGUAUCAUAUUAAAAGAGUGUUUAAUAAAUCAAAUUUAAUAACUUAAAGUGAUUUAAUAACUUAAUUUAAAUUAUUAAAAUAACUUGAUGUCACAAUUUAAAGUUAAAAAUAACUUAAUUUAUUUUUGUUUAAAUUUAAAACUAUGUUUACAAAAAAAGGUUUAAAAUUCCUAUCAAUUAAGAAAUUAAGUCAUUAAAUUACUUUAAGUCAUUAAAUUGAUCUACCAAUUAAACACCCUUUAAGAUAUUAUAUAAAGCUCACCUCCUACAUAUCAUGAAAAUUAAAAAUUAAUUACAACAUCAAGAAUCUUUAGUUCCUAAUCAAUAUAAUAUUUAAUCCUUGGUUGUAAAUUUCUUUACAUAUGUAGAUAUAUUUUUAUAUUGCAAGUGGGUUGCCGACUUUUCAUUUUAUACUAGUUUUGAAAAUAAGAUUGUAGUUUUUAUUUUGUCCAAAUCUAAUUUGGAGGGAGAAUCUUUUAUAUUCAAAUAGGAAAAAUUUAAGUUUAAUAGUCCCACCUUAUAAAGGCAAAUAUCUUGGACCCUACAUGAGUGCCUCUUACAUGCAUAAGGACAAAGACUUUUUGAAAGCCUCCCCCAUUCAUAUGGAUGCCAUCAUUCAUCGAAGUUGAAACACGAAACCCAAACAAAAUAUUUGAGCAAAAGCAACUUCAAUAUUUUUUUCAUAACUAUAGCUGAGAAUCUCAAUAUUAUUAAAUAGUGACAAAAUUAAUUUCAAUAUUUUUUUUCUCUUAUUUUUUCCUCCUUGUGGUUAUAUUUUCAAAUAGAAAGUAUUAAAUAUUUAAAAAAUAAAAAAAUCAUAAAAAAUAAUUUUUCAUAUUUAAUUAUUCUAUGAAAAAUAUAAAGUAAAAUAAAAUAUAAUUAAAAUUAGUUAAAAAUUUAUAUUUUUAUGAAAUUAUUUAAAUUAUUUAUAAAAAUUUAAAAUAAGUGACAUGAGUUUGAAAUAGUAUAUAUGUUGACUUUAAUUAUAUUUAGUUAAAGUUUUCUAUCAUGCCUAAGUUUAAUUAGUUCUACUUAUAUGAAAUUUAUACAUCGAAAUGAAAGUAAGCAUAUAUUUAAGUGGCCCAUCAAAUUUGAAACUAGUCUAUUGUAAUUACAUUCAUAUCUAUAUCAUUUAUAUUAUACAUAACUUGAGUAUAUUAAAAAUUGUACAAAAGAUCCAAAUCACAAGAAAAUUUAUAUAAAUUCUCUUAAGGGUUUAGGAUUAGACACUGUUAGCCAUUGUCUUCUAAAAAACUUUCAUCGCUUUCUCUCUCAAGAGGUUUGUAGCCACUUUACACAAAUGCCAAGACUCAAAGGAAUGAUCUAGUGAAAAUGAUGAGGUGAUUGAGAUCCUCUUCAUAAACUAGAGUUUGAUAUGGGAACAUUCAUAUUGAAGGUAAAAACUUUUAUCAACACCUAGACUUACUAUUAUAUUCCGUUAUAAUUAACCCCAAUAAUCCUAGGUUGUUAGAGAGCAUACACCUAUGAUCCAAGGGUUUUCCCAACAAAGAUAUCAAUAAAUCUUUCUAUUCCAUUGAUGGUAUCUUGAAUUCUUUCAAAUUAAUCACUUCAUUGUAAUCGUUAUUCACUUCAUUGUGAUUUGUCAAAUAAUAAUUCAUUUAUGCAUCAUGGUUGUGCCUUGAGGUAAGGCUUUAGAGGCAUAAGCCUCAAAAGCCUCUUAAAAUUGGUUCUACUUAUGCCUCUAUAGCCUCUUAAAAUUGGUUUUACAUUUCUUGCAUGAUGAAUGCAAGUUCCAAAUUUUGAUGACUUGGUAAUGUUGGAGUAAUUGGGUUGAAAGGAGUUAAACACAAACAAUUAUUAAAGAAGAUAAAAAUUUGGAAGAAUUAAAAUUUUAUUGUAUUCUACCACUCUCUUUUUUAUUCAAAUAUUACAUAACCUUUUAUUUAUAGAUGCUCACACUUAACUAAAAAUGAUAUAAUUAAAAGUAAAUUAUCAUUUGAUUGCAAUGGAUUCAAUAGAAUAUGGUGGAUAUGCUAAAUUUUUGUCUGUCAAUAAAAUUUGAUUUGAGUGAAUAUAAUUAGAGUAAAAUAGUCUUUUUUAACUGUCACUUUUACAAUAAAAAGUGUUUUAUUUAAAUAAAUAUUUAAUAAAAAUUUAAAAAAAAUUUAAAAAAAUAAUUAUAGUGUUUUCUAAGAAACAUUUGAUAAAUAAUUAUUAUAAAAACACUUCCUCGAAAAUACUUCAAAGUUAGUUGGAUGGUAAGUUAUACAUCAAGAUCUUAAUGAUGGUCCAUGCAACCAUCACCAUUGAUUGUUUUCGAAAACACAACUUCAAUUUAAAUAAUAUUUUAAGGCAACUCCUAGUUAUCAUAUUUUACAAGAUAUUUUUUAAAAUUAUUGUUCUUUUUCUUUCAAAAUCCCAAGAGAGAGGUCACCAAUAUCAAAAUAAUGUGACCCAUCUCUAUACUAUUAUCUCCAUUAUUUGGACUAUAUCAUAAUUUCCUUAUCGACAACAUGGUAGCCACGAUUAAAUACCUACAACUUUGAAAACAAGAUCUCAAAACUAUGCUUAUUUGAUUAUAAGGCUUAAUUAUUAUAGUUUAUCAUUUCCUAGCAUAGUUCUUAGCAUCUAGGUAUUUGUUCUAUAAUAAUUUUUCUCAUUUUUCAAGCUUGCAUUUUGUUUAGAAUUUUUUUGAGUUGUUUACAAUCAUUUUGAAAAUGUCAACUCAUAAUUGUAUACAUUUUAGUUCUUGAAGGACUAAAAUCACUAAACAUCAUGGUAAUACUAUUUAAGGUAAUUUGCUUUAAAUGAGAAUGAACUUAUAUACAACUUACGAUUUAAGGUAAUAAUAGAGAUCCAAUUUAAAAAUACAUAAGUUUUCAAUUAAAUAUUAGUAUAUUUAUGUUUCCCUCUUAUUUUUAAUCCUAAAACACAUUAAAUGUAUGUUCUUGAAUUCCUCCAUGUUUUUGAUGUAAUGCGAUUUGAUAUAAUGAUAAAUCAACUAUUAUGAUUUAAUAAUAUGGAGCUUUGACUUUUGACAUUUAAGUAACACUGUCAAUGAAAGCUCCAUUAUUUUUGCUUCAUGGAAAAACAAAUGAUGUGAUUGAAUUACACUUCAAUUAUGUUUGAUUCUUUGAAAAUACUCAAGAAAAAUAAAUAUUUUUAAAAAUAAUUUUCUCAUAUUUGAUUUUGUUAGCCCAAGGGUUCUCCUAAUUGGGUUUUGAUGAUAACAAACCAUGGUUAAGUGACUAAUUGGUUUAAUGAUUAAGAACCUCAGGUAUAAACUCGAAAAUUCAUCAAAUGACCAAAUGGAUACAAGAUCGAGACGCUUGGAAGACUUGUGAUCAUAGGAAAUUAAUGUAAGAUGAAUGCAUAAGUGCACUUAGGAUUUUCACACGUUUCAUGCAUUUUAGAAAACUCGGUUUAGUCUUUAAAACGUCGAUUUCAUUAAAACCCGAGUUUUUAACUAAUGUACCUUAGGAAAAUUGUUUUAUAAUUGGCUUAAUAAUUUUCCUAAAGACAUUGCCUAAGUGUUAGAAAAGAAAGGAAUAAAAAAAAAUAUAGGUUUUUGGGGCCAAAAAGGCUUAACCAGUCGAGGUUAUGGCCAACCGGCUCAACCGCUUGAGGAACCGGUCGACCGGUUGACCUCGUUCGGUCGAGGAUGCACCAAAACCUUCUCUCUUUCCCAGUGGCCUUCUCUCGUUCGGUUGACCGCUUGAGGUGAUUUUCUUACCGGUCGAGGUCCGGUUGAGGCAACGGUAAUCUGUCAUGCAUUAUAUGCUCCAAUGGCUAGUGAACCGAUCGACCCUUAGCUCGACCAGACGAGGUUACCUUUUGCUAUUUUGGACUCCCGAGCUUAGAAACCUAUAAAUUGAGAGCUCUAAUUCUUUUAUUGACAAGAGAACACUUGCAUUCAAUAGCCUACCUACCUGUUCUUGAUCAAAAAGCUCUCAUUUAUUUCAUAGUGCAUUAAAUCACCACUUGCAUAUCCUUUAGUGCACUCUUGUGUGUCAUCCUAGCUUUAUCUUGUAUUUGAGCUAUCCUUAAGUUAGGUUGAGGGAUUAUAUCUAGUAAAAAUCUGAGUGUUAAAGCCUUUAAGAGGGUUGAAUCUUGAAGUGGUUGUGGAAGAGCCCAUUGGAGCCGGAAUCCAAGUGUAAGAAGAUUGGAAGCUUAGUUGAAGCUUUAAGUUAGUGGAACCCUCACUCAGUUAGGAGGUUGAGGAGAGUGGAUGUAGGCAAGGAAGUUCUGAACCAUUAUAAACCCGAGUUUGAAUUCUCUAAACUCUAUCUCUUUACUUUGCUUAUAUUGUGUUUGAAUUUUUUGUGAUUAAAAAUAUUUUAAAAACCCAAUUCACCCCCCCCCCCCCCCCCCCNNNNNNNNNNNNNNNNNNNNNNNNNNNNNNNNNNNNNNNNNNNNNNNNNNNNNNNNNNNNNNNNNNNNNNNNNNNNNNNNNNNNNNNNNNNNNNNNNNNNCAUAUAUUAAAUCAUAAUAGUUGAUUAUCAUUAUAUCAAAUCGCAUUACAUCAAAAACAUGGAGGAAUCCAAGAACAUACAUUUAAUGUGUCCCCCCCCCCCCCCCCCCUUUUGGGUGUUUUUCUUAACUAAGCAUGGCCUUUGUUUUCUCAAUUGGCAUCAGAGCUAGACCUCUUGUGUUUUAAAAGACUUAAUCGUCUAAGAGGAAAUGACUAUUCCAUCAAGCUCAUCCUCAGUUAAAAAUUUUUCAAAACAUAAAGCUCCAUUCUUUACGAGAACCGACUAUCCCUAUUGGAAAACCAGAAUGACUUGGUAUUUGCAAUCUACUGAUUUAGAUGUAUGGGAUGUCAUUGAAGAUGGCCCAACUUUUCCUACUAAACUAGUUGAUGGAGUUUUGGUUCCAAAACCCAAGCAAGAAUGGAAUGAGCUUGAUAGAAGAAACUUUCAAUUAAAUGCUAAAGUCGUUUUUACUUUGCAAUGUGCUAUGGAUAGAAAUGAAUAUAAUAGAAUAUGUCAAUGCAAAUCAGCUAAAAAAAUUUGGAGGUUGCUUGAAAUAACUCAUGAAGGAACUAAUCAAGUGAAAGAGUCAAACAUCAAUUUACUUGUUCAUAACUAUGAAUUGUUUUCAAUGAAAGAAACUGAGACUAUUGUUGAGAUGAUUACUAGGUUCAGCGACAUUGUCAAUGGUCUUGAAGUUUUGGGAAAAACCUACAAGGAAUCCGAGAAGGUGAUGAAGAUAUUGAGGUCUCUCCCAUCAAAGUGGCAUACCAAGGUCACCGCAAUUCAAGAAGCAAAAGACUUGACUAAGCUACCUAUGGAAGAGCUCAUAGGGUCAUUAAUGACAUAUGAGAUCAAUUUGACAAAGAAGCUACAAGAGGGUGAAGACAAAAAGAAGAAUAACAUAGCCCUUAAAGCUACAACCAAGGAAGAAGAAGAUGUUGAAGAAGAAAAGCCAAGUGAUGAAGAUGAUGAUUUAGCCCUUAUCACAAGAAAGCUCAACAAAUACAUAAGAGGUGAAAGGUUUAGAGGAAGGAAAUUCACCUCUAGAAGGGAUCCUUCUAAAAAAGGAAUCUUCAUCCCAUAGUGACAAGGAGAAAUGGGAAGAGAAAAGAGAUUUGACAUGCUUCAAGUGCAAAAAGCCGGGACACAUUAUAUAUGAUUGUCCUCUCUACAAGAGUAAAGCCAAGAGAAGAAUGAAGAAGGCAAUGAUGGCCACUUGGAGUGAAAGUGAAGAAUCCUCCGAAGAAGAAAAUGAGGAAGGAAGUGGAAAACAUGUGCUUCAUGGCAAUAGAUGAUCAUGAUGAGGUAAACUCUAACUUUAGUGAUGAAGAUAUGCAUGAUGUUUUUGAAGAAUUAUAUGAGGAUUUUGAAAAACUUAAUUUGAAAAAUAAUUCUCUUAAAAAGAAAAUUGAAGAACUUGAAAAGGAACUUGAAGAAGUGAAAGAAAAAUUUUCAAUUGUUGAAAUAUCUAAAACUCAUCUUGAAAAAGAAAAUGAGAUUUUGAGAAGUGAAAAUGAGAUUUUGAAAAAAAAAAAAAAUGAAUGGUUAACCUUCUCUCUUUCAAUUUUCUCUUGUGGACAAAAAUAUUUUGAAAUGAUCUUAGCUAGCCAAAAAUGUGUCUUUGACAAACAAGGGCUAGGAUUCAAAUCAUCAAAAAAUCAAAAGUAUUUAAAAACUACUUUGUAAAAGAAUCCACAAGUGCAAGUCCUUCCACCAGUUGCAACUUUUGUGGAAGAGGAGGGCACAUUAGUAGUACAUGUCCCUUAAGAAAUGGUUCUCAAAAGAAUUUAAAUGCUAAAGCUAAAAAGGUUUGGGUUGAGAAAUCCAAGGUCACUAACUCUCAAGGACCCAAAAAAAUAUGGGUGCCUAAAUCAACUUAAAUUUUAUUUUGUAGGGAUCAAAGAAGGAUAAGUGGUUCUUGGAUAGUGGAUGCUCAAGACACAUGACCGGGGAUGAAUCCAAGUUUGCUUUCCUUACAAAGAGAAAGAGAGGAUACAUUACCUUUGGAGACAAUUCAAAAGGAAGGAUCAUUGGUCAAGGCAACAUUGGUAAUGCCACAUCCUCCCUUAUUGAAAGUGUUUUAUUAGUGGAUGGUUUAAAACAUAGUCUUUUGAGCAUAAGUCAACUUUGUGACAAAGGUUUUAAAGGGAUUUUUGAAGAAUCUCAUUGCAUCAUCAAAGAUAUUCAAAAUGAUAAAACCAUCUUCAUGGGCCAUAGAUGUGACAAUGUUUAUGCAAUAAAUAUUUCAAAAUAUGAUGGUCAUGAUAGAUGCUUUUCAAGCAUGCAUGAUCAAAGUUGGUUGUGGCAUAGGAGGUUGGGACAUGCUAACAUGAACCUCAUUUCCCAACUCAACAAAGAUGAACUUGUUAGAGGCCUUCCCAAAAUAAAUUUUCAAAAAAAUAAAGUUUGUGAAGCUUGUCAAAUCGAAAAGCAAAUAAAAAACUCUUUUAAAAACAAAAAUUUCAUUUCAACAACUAGGCCUUUUGAAUUGUUGCAUAUAGAUUUAUUUGGUCCCUCUUGGACACCAAGCCUUGGAGGAAAAUCUUAUGCUUUUGUUAUUGUAGAUGACUUCUCUAAAUACACUUGGGUCUUAUUUUUAAGUCAAAAGAAUGAAGCCUUUUAUGAGUUUUCAAAGUUUUGCAACAAUGUUCAAAAUAAAAAAGGUUUUACAAUUACUUGUAUAAGAAGUGAUCAUUGGAAAGAAUGUGAAAAUAUUGAUUUUGAAGACUAUUGCAAUGAGCAUGGUAUUAACCACAACUUUUCGGCUCCUAGAACUCCUCAACAAAAUUGGGUAGUUGAAAGGAAAAAUAUAACUCUUCAAGAAAUGACUAGAACCAUGCUAAAUGAAAACAAUUUACCAAAAUACUUUUGGGCCGAAGCGGUUAACGCUUCUUGUUAUGUUUUAAAUAGAAUUUUAUUAAGGCCUAUUCUUAAGAAUCUCCCUAUGAGCUUUGGAAAAACAAGAAACCCAACAUUAGAUAUUUCAAAGUCUUUGGGUGUAAAUGCUUUAUUUUAAACACCAAAGACAAUCUUGGAAAUUUUGAUGUAAAAUCGGAUGUUGGAAUUUUACUUGGUUACUCAACUUCAAGUAAAGCCUUUAGAGUUUUUAACAAAAGAACCAUGGUUGUUGAGGAGUCCAUCCAUAUUAUCUUUGAUGAAUCUAACAAUUCUCUCCAAGAAAGACAGAGCUUUGAUGAUGAUCUAGGCUUGGAGACCUCCAUGGGAAAAUUAAAAAUUGAAGAUAGAAGGCAACAAGAAAAAGUUGUAGAGGAUCCCAAGAAAGAAGAAUCACCUUUGACACUACCUCAUCCUCAACAAGUGCAAGGUGAAUCAAGCCAAGACCUCCCUAAAGAUUGGAAGUUUGUCAUCAACCACCCACAAGAUCAAAUUAUAGGUAAUCCAUCUAGUGGGGUAAGAACUAGAUCAUCUCUUAGAAAUAUUUGCAAUAAUCUUGCUUUUAUCUCUCAAAUUGAACCUAAAAAUAUAAAAGAUGCUCUAGUUGAUGAAAAUUGGAUGAUUGUCAUGCAAGAAGAGUUAAACCAAUUUGAAAGAAGUGAAGUAUGGGAAUUAGUGCCAAGACCUCAAAAUCAGAGUGUUAUUGGAACUAGAUGGGUCUUUAAAAACAAAAUGGAUGAAAAUGGUAUAAUUAUAAGGAAUAAAGCAAGAUUGGUAGCCCAAGGUUUUAAUCAAGAAGAAGUGAUAGAUUAUGAAGAAACCUUUGCUCCCGUAGUUAGAUUGGAAGCCAUUAGGAUGCUACUUGCCUUUGCAUGUUUUAAAAACUUUGUUUUAUAUCAAAUGGAUGUGAAAAGUGCUUUCUUAAAUGGCUUUAUAAAUGAAGAGGUAUAUGUUGAACAACCACCCGGUUUUCAAAGUUUUAACUUUCCUAAUCAUGUUUUUAGACUUAAAAAGACACUUUAUGGUUUGAAACAAGCACCUAGAGCAUGGUAUGAAAGAUUGAGUAAAUUUCUUUUGAAAAAGGGUUUUAAAAUGGGAAAAAUUGACACAACUCUUUUCAUAAAAACCAAAGAAAAUGACAUGAUCUUAGUGCAAAUAUACGUUGAUGAUAUCAUUUUUGGAGCUAAUAAUAUCUCUCUUUGUGAAGAAUUCUCUAAAUGCAUGCAUAGUGAGUUCGAAAUGAGCAUGAUGGGAGAAUUUAACUUCUUCCUUGGACUUCAAAUCAAGCAACUAAAGGAAGGAACCUUCAUCAAUCAAGCAAAGUAUAUAAGAGAUCUCCUCAAAAGGUUAAAUAUGGAGGAAGCCAAAACAAUGAAAACUCCAAUGAGUUCAUCCAUCAAGCUUGACAUGGAUGAGAAAGGUAAGCUCAUCAACUCAACUAUGUAUAGAGACAUGAUAGGUUCUUUGCUAUAUUUGACCACUAGUAGACCCGACAUCAUGUAUAGUGUAUGCUUGUGUACUAGAUUUCAAUCUUGUCCUAAAGAAUCUCAUUUAAGUGUUGUAAAACAAAUUCUUAGAUAUUUAAAAGGGACUAUGGACAUAGGCCUAUGGUAUCCUAAGUGUGAUAAUUUUGAAUUAAUUGGAUACUCGGAUACCGACUUUGCCAGUUGUAAAGUUGAAAGGAAAAGCAUUAGUGACACUUAUCAUUUCCUAGGACACUCACUUGUUUCAUGGCAUAGUAAGAAGCAAAAUUCAGUAGCUUUGUCUACGGCGGAAGCCGAAUACAUAACAGCCGGUUUAUGUUGUGCACAAAUCCUUUGGAUGAAACAAACACUUGGUGAUUUCAAUUUGAUUUUUGAGCAUGUUCCUAUAAAAUGUGAUAACACUAGUGCCAUAAACAUUUCAAAAAAUCCGGUACAACACUCUAGGACUAAGCAUAUAGAGAUAAGACACCAUUUUCUUAGAGACCAUGCACAAAAGGGUGGCAUUACACUUGAAUUUGUAAACACAAAAUAUCAACUUGCCGAUAUUUUUAUAAAACCCCUAAGUGAAGAGCAAUUUUUUGAUAUUAGAAGACAACUAGGGGUGAUUUCUUUAUGAUCAAAUGAUUGCUUGAUGAAUUCUUAAUUGAAUAUACCUUAUGAUUGUGUGAAAUUCAUAUCAUAUGCAUCAUAUAGAAAUAAUCCUAGGAAAGAGGUCAAAUUUUGACCAAAAAUCAAAAUUCUCGUGGCAUUGGACAUAAAAAAUUGGGGAUUUCUACUGAAAAGGGUAGAAGGAGGAUCACAAGACAAGAAAAUGCAAAAAUUUUGGAAAAUUUGACCGUUGACCAAGCGGUCGACCGAUUGAGGAAUCGGUCGAUCGGUUCGUCGGGGCUAGGAACCCCACACUUCAUUUCUCACCUAUUCUCUUCCAUAGCUUGAAGCCCCUUCACAUACCUGCUUCCAGAGGCCAUUUUGGGUUGGAUUUUGGAUUGAUUGAAGGCUUUGAGUGGAUUUUGGGACGCAUUUAAGCUAGGGUUUCAAUCUGAAACCUAGGGUUUUCAGAUUUGGGAGCGUCUUCUCUCUGCACCGCGUGCCUCAAGGUUGAUUUAGCUUCAUCUCCGUGCGCCUAGGGCUUCGGGUUGGUGGUUGCUCCUUCUUAUUUGAUUUCAUUCUCUUUUUGGACUCCUCCUUCUCCUUUCCAUUCAUUGGAUGGCUCCAAGGCGAGAGACGGGCACCUCCGAAAGGCGAGGUAUGACACGACCCUCUUCAGUUCGGUUGAAAACUAUCAGCGCUACAAGCAAAAGUUUGCCCAGAGAAAAGUUGUCCCAGGGAGAAGUGUCAAUUUCUCCCAACUUCAGCACUUCGGGUUUAAGAGACUAUUCGAUCGGAUGGGAUGGCUGCCAGUUGUGACCAUUUCUGAGUCGAUCUUCCCGACUCUGGUGCUGGCUUUUUAUUCACGGGCGACCUAUGGGCUUGGAGGACCUAUAUUGUCCACUGUGAGGGGAGUUGAGAUCAGAUUGAGUCCCAAGAGUAUCUAUCGCAUUCUCGGCAUCCCUUCCGUUGGACUCCAAGUGUAUGAGGCCAAGGCGUGGCCCAUUGUGUCAGGAUUCUAGCCUAGAGAGGCUGUUCAGAGGUUGUGUGAACUCGUAGAUGCCCAGGGGAUGGGCAAACCAUUAGCACACAGCCUAACCAUGCCCAGCCGAGUCCUUCACCACAUGAUAUGCUCCAUUUUAUUGCCACGAGGAGGACAUCGAGAUGAGAUCUCGUAUCUUGAGGCAUUUAUUGUGGACUCGAUCCUCAUUGGGAGACGAAUUCACGUGGGAUAUCUAAUGAUGAUGCAUAUGAUCUCCUACGUUGAGAGCACGACACGAGUACUUCCCUAUGGCCGCUUCCUUACCCGAGUAUUCAAGGAUGUCGGGGUCGACUUGAGUAGAGAGACGGACUUCGAGGCCCCAACUAGCUAUGAAACGUAUGAUGAGCAGUCCUUAGGACGCAUGAAGUUCGAGAAGGCACUCGAUGGUUCUUGGGUUAGGAGAGCUGAGUGACAGGCCCAAAGAUAGGGACAGAUGCAUCCCGAGGCAGAGGAAGAGGCCGAGAUCAAAGAGAUGGAGGAUGGGUUAGACCCUCAGAGGGACUUUGAGCAGAGAGGACCCGAGCUUGACAUUCCACCUCCACCUCGUCAGAGGGCAUUCAUGUUGAGGCUACUUUCUCAGAGCUUAUGAUGAUUGAGCUAUCUUUCAUAGUAGGACCAUCAUCUCAGCCAUCAUUUACCGAGCUACCAUCUCAGGCACCUCACGCUCCUGAGCAUACGCCUUGGAUGGAUGUCUUAGCUCAGAUCAGCUCCCUUGGGACUCAUAUGGAGGAACUUGUUUUAGUCCAUGACUCUCGCUUCUACUCUAUGGAGGAGCACAUGGAUCAGUAUCAGACUGGAGUCACUUCUCAGUUUGAUCACUUCCAACAGAGAUUUGAGCUCAUAAAUGAGCGUAUAGAUCAGUAGUAGGCUACAUUUGAGCAUCUCUAGCAGAGCAUUGAUCGCAUUGAGAGUCGUCAGGCGAGUCAGCAUGAGGAGAUGAUGGUUUACCUCCGCUCUGUGUUUCCUCCUCCACCUCCUCAGCCUUGAGAUUGUCUCGAGUUUCCCUUCCAUUUCUUUUUUAUGUUGCCAAAGAAGGAGAAAUAUAUAGGAUCUAGGAGACCCUCAUGCAUGUCAGAGACCCUCAUACAUGUCAUUGUCAUAUCAUCUUGUUUGUACAUGUGAGGUUUUCAUAUAUAUAUGAUAUGAUAUUUUUAUGAUCCAUUGUUCAUUUUCAUGUUUUACAUUGCUUCCUAUUAAAAAUUGUUUGAUUGAUCCAUGAUUGGUUUGAGGGAAAGAUUUUUUUUCUCCUAGAUAACCAAGGUUUGUCAUCAUAAAAAAGGGGAAGAUUGUUAGCCCAAUGGUUCUCCUAAUCGGGUUUUGAUGAUAACAAACCAUAGUUAAGUGACUAAUUGGUUUAAUGAUUAAGAAUCUCAGGUAUAAACUCGAAAAUUCAUCAAAGGACCAAAUGAAUACAAGAUCGAGAUGCUUAGAAGACUUGUGAUCAUAGGAAAUUAAUGUAAGAUGAAUGUAUGAGUGCACUUAGGAUUUUCACACGUUUCAUGCAUCUUAGAAAACUCGAUUUAUUCUUUAAAACGUCAAUUUCAUUAAAAACCGAGUUUUUAACUAAUGUACCUUAGGUAAAAUGUUUUAUAAUUGGCUUAAUAAUUUUCCUAAAGACCUUGCCUAAGUGUUAGAAAAGAAAUGAAUAAAAAAAAAAGGUUUUAAGGGCCAAAAAGGCUCAACUAGUCGAGGUUAUGGCCAACCGGCUCAAUCGGUUGAGGAACCGAUCGACCGGUUGACCUCGUUCGGUCGAGGACCGGUCGAGGAACCGAUCGACCGAUUGACCUCGUUCGGUCGAGGACCGGUCGAGGAUGCACCAAAACCUUCUCUCUCUCCCAAUGGCCUUCUCUUCCCGGUCGAGGUCCGGUCAAGGCAACAGUAACCUGUCAUGCAUUAAAUGCUCCAACGGCUAGUGAACUGAUCGACCCUUAGCUCGACCAGACGAGAUUACCUUUUGCUAUUUUUGACUCCCGAGUUUAGAAACCUAUAAAUUGAGAGCUACACUUCAUUUAUUGACAAGAGAACACUUGCAUUCAAUAGCCUACCUACUUGUUCUUGAUCAAAAAGCUCUCAUUUCUUUCAUAGUGCAUUAAAUCACCACUUGCAUAUCCUUUAGUGCACUCUUGUGUGUCAUCCUAGCUUUGUCUUGUAUUUGAGCUAUCCUUAAGCUAGGUUGAAGGAUUAUAUCUAGUAAAAAUCUGAGUGUUAAAGCCUUCAAGAGGGUUGAAUCUUGAAGAGGUUGUGUAAGAGCCCAUUAGAGCCGGAAUCCAAGUGUAAGAAGAUUGGAAGCUUGGUUGAAGCUUCAAGUUAAUGGAACCCUCACUCGAUUAGGAGGUUGAGGAGAGUGGACGUAGGCAAGGAAGUGUCGAACCACUAUAAACCCGAGUUUGAAUUCUCAAAACUCUAUUUCUUUACUUUGCUUAUAUUGUGUUUGAAUUUGUUGUGAUUGAAAAGAUUUUAAAAACCCAAUUCACCCCCCCCCCCCCCCCCCCUUUUAGGUAUUUUUCUUAACUAAGCAUAGCCUUUGUUUUCUCAGAUUUUAUUAUAAAAAAAUAAUAUAAUUAAAAUUAGUAAUAAAUUUAAAUAUUUUUAAAUUACUUAAUCUUUAUAUAAAAGAGUUAAAUUAGUAAAACGAGUUUAAAAUAUGAUAUAAAGGUAAUUUAUUGACUUUAAAUCUUCUUUUUUUUUUUUACUUCACUUUUUCUUUCCUUCUCUUUCUCCUCUAUCUUCUUUCUUUCAUAUUUUCCCUCAUGUUUUUUGGAACCGAACAUAUUCACAUAUAUCCUUGAUUUCUAGUGGGUUUAUGAAAUUUGAGUAGACAUAAUUAAUGGAUCAAUCUUUAUUUUUCAUUUGACUUAAUUAAAAUAUUCUCUUUGAUGAGAUCAUAUUUGAUAAAUUGUUAUUUGAUUGCAGCAUAUUCAAUCGAAUUCGAUAGUCUAGGUAUCAUAAAUCAUACAUGUUAUACACUAUUUAUAGUAAAUGAAUAGCCACAAACCAUACAUAGAGGAGAUGCGGAUUUCAUUAUAAAUCAUACGAUAAUUACAAAAGAUAUGAUAUUAACUUGCAGUAAAUUGCAACAUCGGCACUCUAAUGCUGGAUUAGAGUAGGGGCAAUGGGCUCAGAGUAACUAGACAAAGUAAGUCUGAUUAUUGCUAACUUUCCUCAUCUUUCGUGGGCCUUUUGGGUGCUUUUUGUGCAAAAGAGAAAAUGCUAUAACUAAAUUGCCAAUCCAUCACCAACGUUAUAGACUAAUGAAGAAUACCAAAGGGGGUUGAAAAGAAAAAUAAAAAAAGACGCGUAUGUGUAUUAUUUUCUGUCAUUGAGUGUGUAUAUGGAUGUUAGAAGGUCAUUUGAUUGAUUAUGUUUGUUGACGAGAGUUUGUAUGUGAGCUUUUCGAGACCCUUCAUUCUUUGUAUUCAUUUUUGUCAUAUGUUUUGAGAGUGAGAUGAGUGGUCUUCUCUUAGGAGCUCUGAGUCAUUGUCUAUUCCAUCAUUGUGUUCGUUAUUGACGUGACCUCCUUUCAUAUUUGAUUUAAGCAUAUCAUCACUCGUUCUCGUAUUCUAUGUUUCAUCAUCAUACUCGUUUUCACUUCUGAUUCAUCAUUUUCAUUUCACCACUUAUUCCGUUCUUACAGUGACCUCAUCUUUGGGUUUGAUACUCUCUUCGCAUCAUCAUUAUACAUCUCGUCAUCAGUUUGAUUUUCUUCAUUGCAUCAUCAUUGUUACCAUGUUCACAGUAGGCAUUCUCAGGUCCAUGGCUCACAGGAUUUACUAUACAUGUUGCAUUUCAUACACGAGGGCAUGGGUUGUGAUCAUUGGGUAUUUGAGCUUAGUUUCCCUUCGUUUCUAUCACCCUAGCCUACAUUACAUCCCGUGUCUUAAGACCACCCUGAGGCCAUGGGAUCAGAUAUCGUCUUCUAUGGCUUCUAUUUGGACAGGUGUUUGAGAUUUGGUUGACAUUUAGAUAUUGUCAUGUUUCUUCUUCUGGGAGACACCUCUAUGAUGUUUAGAUUCGUUUCAACUGUGUUUGGAUUACCGGGAUCACGCGUUUGAUGAGGGAUGAUUCGAUGUCGCUUGUUUUUCUGACAUGUCGUACAUCCGAUGUCAUACUGGGGCAUAUUCCAUUUCGGAUGAUGUUUACAGAUCUUCAUGGAGUCACUUGAUCAUUCUUACUUGUGAGAUGUGCACUGGGACGAUGACUUAUUUGCCAUUUUUAUGAUGAUACCUCAGUAGAGACUCUUGGGAUCCAUCCGGUUAAGCCCGCACGUCUCGGCAUUCCGAUGUCACCAUGAUUACCUCUGUGAGAUGCCUUUUGGACUCUUGGACCCGAUUCUGUCCUAGAUUGAUGACUGGGAUUAUACGCUUGAUGAGAGAUGAUUUCAUGUCACCUGUUCUUCUGACUUGUCACACAUUCGAUGUCAUACUGGGGCAUAUUUUCAUUUCGGAUGAGAUUUAUGGAUCUUCACGGAGGUCACAUGUUUGAUGAUAAAUGAUUUCUUGUCGCCCGAUCUUCAACAUAUCAUACAUUCGAUGCCAUAAUGGGGCAUAUUUCCGUUCUGGAUGAGAUUUACAGAUCUUGGUGGAUUUGCAUGCUUAUCCUCAUUUGCGAGACGUACGCCGAGACGAUGAUCUAUUUGCUAUCUUUACGAUGAUUCCUCAGGGAAGCCUUUCAGGAGUUACCUAGUUAAACCCGCACUUUUCGACACUUAGAUGUCGUCAUGCUUUCUUCCGAGAGACGCCUCUUUGAUUUGUGGGCCUGAUUCAGUUGCAGACAUGGAUGAUUUGAGCUCAUUUGAUUUUCCAACCUAUCACAUUUUUGAUGCCAUACUGGGGCAUAUUCCCCAUUUUGGUCGAGAUUUGUAGAUCUCCCAUUGAUUUGCAUGAUCAUCUCCGGUUAUGAGAUACACGUCAUGUUGAUGAUUUGAUUUCAUUUUGUCCUGAUACUCCGAGGAGCCUCACUUGAGUCAUUCAGCCAGAUUCAUACUCUCUGAUAUAGUCGUGAUUCUUAGACAGAGUUACCUCAGGUGCCUGGUUUUCCACAUCAUCAUUUCAGUGGGGUACAUAUAAGAUAUUUUGUACAUCCCCCAUGGAGUUAUUCUCGAGUUAUUAUGACAGAUCGGAUACGUUAGACGUUAUAUUGGGACAUAUUUCCCUCCUUCGGCUGCGGAGGUGAUUGUUCUCUCACAAAUCUAUUACAGUUUUUCAUCACUCGAUCGAUGAACAUUUGUUUGCUUUAUUGGUCACCGUUCCUGUGAUUUUCGUCAAGAUGAGCUUUCAGUGUAGCACGAUGUUCGGGUUUUGACCGUCCCACUAGCCAUGAGUCUUUGGUGGAUUGUUACUUUGAGAUUGUGGUAUGUCUCUUAGCGGACUAUUCCCUUGAGACCCUAUCAAAUUAUUCAUUUCAGAUGACGAUAGAUUUCUCUAGCAGAUUGUUUCGAGUUAGAGGCGUCUGACUCAUUAUGACAUCCCGUCAGGCGUCGUGAUCUAGUAGGGCGAGUUGUGAGACUAUGUUCACAAUCGAUUUGAUUAUCCCGACUUACUAGUGGGACAUUUUUUUUUAGACUCAUGAAGUCUCUUUCAAACCUUUCCAAUGGAUUGAGAGUUGUGGCGGCCUGCUACACUAGGGCAUGUCCCCUCCUUCAUCAUUUCCUUACAGUUCGGCGUUCAGAGCCAUCAUUCAUUACUGAUUUUCUAUUUGGCGUUCAGAGUCACAUUCUCAGUUUCAGAAUUCAAAGCCAUCAUCGAUUUUCAGUUUGACGUUCAAAGUCCGCAUUUUUCAAUUUUGGCGUUCAGAGCCAUCAUCGUGUUUUUAGUUUGACGUUCAGAGUCACAUUCUUAGUUUCGACAUUCAGAGUCAUCAUCGAUUUUCAGUUUGACAUUCAGAGUCGCAUUUUUCAGUUUCGGCAUUCAGAGCCACCAUCAUUUUUUAGCCUAGCAUUCAGAGCCACUAUGUCUUCUCAUUUACGACGCUUAGGGUCAUCUUUCUUAGUUGGACGUUCAUAGUUAUCAGUUUUAGUUUGGCAUUUAGAGCCAGCGUUUCUGCAUGGCAUUCGUAGAUAUUAUCUUCGUUUCGACGUUUAGAGCCACGUUUUCAUUUCAACAUUCAGAGCUGUUGUUUCGGUUUGGCGUUCAAAGCCAUGGUUUUGGGUCGACAUUCAGAGUUAUUAUAUCAUCCAUUUCGGCGUUCAGAGCCAUUACUCAUCUUCGUUACAACAUUUAGAGCCACUACUUAUCUUCAUUCGGUGUUCAGAGCCAUGUUUGCUUCAUUUGGCGUUUAAAGCCACGUCUUCGUUCAGCGUUCAGAGCCAUUACAUCAUCCAUUUCGGCGUUCAAAGCCAUUACCCAUCUUCGUUACAACAUUCAGAUCCACUACUUAUCUUCGUUCGGCUUUCAAAGCCAUGUUUGCUUUAUUCGGCGUUAGAGCCACGUCUUCGUUCGGCGUUCAGAGCCAUUACAUCAUCCAUUUCGGCGUUCAGAGUCAUUACUCAUCUUCGUUACAGCAUUCAGAGCCACUACUUAUCUUCGUUUGGCAUUCAGAGCCAUGGUUUGCUUCAUUCGACGUUCAGACCCACGUCUUCAUUCGGCGUUCAAAGCCAUUACAUCAUCCAUUUUGGCGUUCAGAGCUAUUACUUAUCCUAGUUUCGGUGUUCAGAGCCAUUACUGGUUUUCUAUUUGGUGUUCAGAGUCACAUUCUCAGUUCCUCAAUCAGAGUCCUUAUGUCUAUCUUUCGUUUUGAUCCAUCACCAUUUUCCUCCAUUCUAGCAUUUAAAGCCAUUGGGCACACUCUUUCGAGCCUUUUUAGGUCAUUUCUAUUCUUAAUUUUGGCGUUCAGAGCCAUUGUACUUAUCCAUUCAGGCACUUUGAGUCACCAUUUUCUCUUUUCUUUUUUACGUUCAAAGUCACGGUCCCUGGCAUUUAUAUUCACUGGCAUUGCACAUCUGACAUUCAUAAUUUUGCAUCCAUCCUCACUUACCUCACCUUGUUACCCUGUGCUUAUCACUUAUUCAUCAUUGCUCGUCCAGAUUCCUGUUCCACUGCACAUGACACAAUCUCUUGAGUUCACGACACAUACUUCGAUCGUGUUGUUGAGGACCCUACACUUAUCAUUUUCAUGUAGUUCAGAUAGGGUAGUCUUCUUUGGGCGUAGACUUUUCUAUGCUCUAGGGCGAUUCGACCGUCACUCAUCUUUGAUAUGUUUUUUUUUAGUUACUUUUGGAGACGUCUUAGAGGGAGCCUGAGUCCUCAGUGUGGCUUCAGGACAUUUUGAGACAUCAUUUUCUUUUAGGGUUAGAGCCUUUUGUUCACCUAUUGGAUUGAGAGAGUUCGUGUUUCACUAGCAUCCUUUUGGGGGUCUCUUUUGUUCUUUGGUAGAGUUCACUUCAUUCCACUCACUAUUCACACUUUCUUUUCAUUCCAGUGUUCAUAUUCCUUACACUUGUGAGUUCUACCGAAGAUGAGCAUAUUUGUAGACCCCCAUUUAGGCAUGGUUCAUUUUUUCUUUGUUGUUUCUACAGGUUACAUUUUUUUUUUUGCCAGGUGUCGCAGCUAUGAGUAGCCAUGUGUUGAUUCCAAUUUGGUUGCUAUGGCAUCAGGUAGUGGAACAAGGAGCAAACAAGAGGUUGACACGUGUCAAAAAGAUUGGGGAAAAAGUUGAGUUCGUUAGGAGGAGUAGAGGAGAGAGAGAAUUGGUUGGCAGAGAGCGAGUGCUUUGCAUGCUAGCUAGAGAUAUUUUUUUUAGAGGAUUCUUUCUUGAGGGGCAAGUCGGGUAGUGAGGAGAGGCGAGACAGGGGGUAAGAGAAAACAGAGAGUGACUUGAAAUAGAGGGAGAUUCUGGUGACUGGCUGUUGGCUUGAGAUGAGGGAACCUAAGAGAAGAGAGAGCUUUCACAGAAGAAGCAAGGAACAGAGGAGAGAGGUUGCGGCUUGCUGAGAAUCAAACGACUUUUGAUCGAAAGGAUCGCUCAAGUUUAGCUAUUUUUACACCUUAAGUUCUCCAUUAUUUCAGUCAUUCCAUUUUUCUUCCUGACAUUUGGAUGUGUAUUUUGGUUGUCUAAUAUGUUAAACCUGUUUCUUAGCUUCCAUUUUCUUAGUCUCUGUUUGUCUUUCUUUUCUCUCUCUGUAUGAGUUGCAUUGUGAUUAUACUAUUUAUUUGUGUUAAAGUGACUCAAAAACUUCCCACUAGUUCUUAACUCUCAUUGAUUUUCAUGGAGAAAAGAUAGAUCUAAUCAUGUUACUUCUUUCACAUGCUUUGUUUCUUGAGUUUUUUUUUUUUUUUUGCUUUUGAAAAAUACCGACCAUUAUUUUGUAAACUACCUGGAAGUUUUGCAAUGAGAGACAUUUGAGGUGAGAGUUGACAAUGAGAAGAAGCGUAUUGCAUUACAGUGUAGAAUGAGGAAUAUUUUGAGGGUAUUUUGGAAAGCUUGAGGGGCAAGUUUACUGAAGAAAAGAAGAAAGUGUAAGAAGUUAACCCUACUUUGAAAAACCCAGAAAAGGUACGAAAUGGAAUGAAGAAGCCAACAACUUACAGAGCCAGCUUAAUGAGUUUGUUGAUUGUUCUCAAACUGAAAAUCUCGUAAGACCUUAGGUAGAUUACUGUAAACUGUCCAUCACUGGAGAAGAAUGUACGGUUGAGAUUUGCAGAAUAGAAGCUUCUGGUACCGGGAAUCAACGAUGAGGGGUGGCUCGAGCAAAAAGGAGUUUGAUGAAUGAAGUGAGCGGCUCGAGAGUUACAGUCUGAGCACGGAUGUGAGCGAGUGUGAGAGUUUGAGUGGCUUUUCGUGUGACGAUGACGGUUAGGGAGGAGGGGUUGUUUCUUCUCUGAAUUACUCGCUGCUCGUCUGACCGAAGGUUGUAGUGAAUUUCAGUUUCAGAGCGCCGCCUCCAUUAACUCUGCCGGUUGCUGGUGGUGGACAUGUGGUGAUUCAGCCACGGAAGCCGGAGAAAGAGUUGCCGCUACCACUGAGGAGUCCGAUUCUGACCACGUCCCAUGCCUCAACUCCGAAUGACAAGAGGAAUCCUUAUUAUUACAAGGAAUUAAAUCCCGGCGAUACCUCUGAAUCCGACAGUAGGGAGUGUUGGGUGGAUUGCCAGAAAGACUGGUAGGAGUUGAAUGAUUCAGCCAUCGCAUGUCUCAUGGAGGCCUAUACGGAGAAGUUUGCACAACUGAAUCAUGGGAAUCUUCAGGAUAAGGAUUGGACAAGAUUUUAUGGAAUACAAUUAGGGCCCACCAUGCCGCAUUCUUGACAUCAAAUUCGCAGUUACAUGCUGAUAGUUUGGUUGAUAAUCUCUUGUGCACACCUCUGUAGCGAAUCUCUUUGUUUUCGGUAACGCCGGUAGUCACGUCGAUAGAUUUGUCUCUCGGCGCCAUUUGUUUUGUGUUUUGGUACAAGUGUUUGUGAAAACAAAGGUAGACAGAAAGAGAAAAAGAUAGAGAGAGAGAGAGAAAGAGAGAGAGAAGUGGCUUCAAGGACACACGUGGCUCACCCUAUGUUUUCAUGCAUGUUUUCAAAAACCCAUUUUAAAAAAAAAUCUCACUUUCAUAUGAUUUUAAGUCUUAAAAUUUUCUUUCUUGAUUUUAAAUAAAUCCAAUUUUAAUAAAUCAAUUCCAAUCAUUUUUUUUUUCACUAGGCUUGCUGAUUGGAGCCAAAAUAUGUGCUCUAAUGGCACAUAUUUGAUAUGAUUUGUGCACCAAAGGACAUUCAAAUCACCCAACUUGACCUAAAUUAAUGCUAAGGCCCUAGCCAUGAGUUUAAUCUGUACUUUGGAGACUUAUCUCAGGUUCAAGGGAAGAAAAUUGUGCAAAUCCAAUGACUUUAGAUUUUGAAAUAUCAAGAAAGGGCUAAAUGAGGAAAUAAGUGAGUCAAGACUCAUUGAACGUAAGGAAAGGAAAAACGAGGAUAUCAUGAGGUUGAAAGAUGAUAAAUGACCAUUAUGGAGUAAGAAAGAAGGCAAGAAAGCAUGGGAAAUGAGGCAUGAAGCAAGAUUUAGCUGCAUGGAAAUUUAGAACUCAAAAAUCUGAUGGCGUUAUAUACUCUGACUUUGAGGACAAAUUUGGAGUACUUUCUAGAGUCCAUUAUAUACAUACUAUAUAUUUUUUUGAAGCUCGGGAAGUCAAGAGUCCAACGCUUCAAACGGUUUGCAAAUCGGAGCUGAAAUGAAGAAGUUAUGGCCAUUUGAAGACAAUUGCACCAAGUUGGAGGGUCAUUUCGAAAUGAUUUCGAAAUUCAACUUAUGAAUUCGAAAACUUAUGAAUUCGAAAUCCACUUCGAAAUGACACCAAUUUCGAAUUCACCCACUGCCACUUUGAUGUUCAGCCUCCUCUACCCCGGGAAUUGCAUCUAUUCAACUUAUGAAUUCGAAAUCCACUUCGAAAUGACACCAAUUUCGAAUUCACCCAUUGCCACUUUGAUGUUCCGCCUCCUCUACCUCGGGAAUUGCAUCUAAAGCACUCCAUCUGCCCUAGGUGGACUCCAUACAACUAGAAAUCACCAUUUUAUUAUUUUUUUAAUCAUUUUUAGGAAAUUAUUUUGUAAUAAGUGGCCAAUGAGAGUAUGCCACAUGUUAGGUAAUUGAGGAUAUUAUGUAAACUCUCUCAAUUCUAGGUUUUAGAGAUCUUGGAUUUUUUUUUGGAGAGUUUGACAUUGAAGGUGGAAGGAGACGAGAACUUUGGUUUGUUUUCUUUUUCUUCUUUAUUGAAAAUAUUGUUUUUAGUUUCUUUCGAUUCAAAUUAUGGAUUUUUACCCUAUUAUGGAUUGUGAAUGUGACAUCACCCCCAUGAGAGGCUAAGAGCCAACUUGGGGCUUGAAGCAUGAAAACCUAAGGGCUAGGAAACCAAUAGGGACAAUGGGCAAAUUAUUAUAACAAUGAGAUUAAUUAUUGGUUGGGUGACAAUUUAUCAUAUUUUUUUAUCCUAUCAUUGUGAGUUCGUUUAGGGAAUGAUACAUUAGGUUAUUACUUGAUACUAGUGAUUCUUGGUAAUUCUUGAUCAUUAGUUAUUUUCGUCUUACCUACCAUUAUUUGCCCCUAAACAAAGCUAUAAGGAGUAGGAAGGGUUAAAAAGCCAAAUCUUAAAUUGAUAAUCAAUCUCAUUCAUUUGAUGGUUUUAGGAAUCUGUUUUAAAAAGGAAAAAUUAGGUUUCGGAUGCAAUUUUGAGUUAUAGAACUCAACUUGAUCGCGAGUGGCCAAGGAUCCCAAAACUCUAAGAUCAUAUUACUUAAAAUACCCUUGUUUUCUCUAAUUUCUAUACCCUAGGUUGGAUUGUGGAAAACCCCAAACUUGAAUCAAUUGAUUUUAAAAUCAUUAUUCAUUUUCUCUUAUUAAUUUAAUUUCUUUUACUUAGUUUCACAUUAUUCACAUAUUGUUUUUCACUUAAGGAUUUAAACAAAAACAAUUCAUUUAUUCUAGUAUUGACAAUUUUCAUAGGCCAGUCCUUGAGAACGAUACUCGGAAUACUACAAAAGCCGUAGUGACUCUUUCUCUAGUUUUUCUUGACUAGAGUUACUACAUAAAAAGGCUAAGUAUUUUGGUACAAUAGAAAAUUUUCGGUCACUUGCAUCUUUUACUUCAUUUUAUUUUUUUAUUUUAUAUUAUUUUCAUUUUUUGUAUUAUUAUUAUUUUUUUCUUUUCUUUGAUUUUAUGUAUUUUCUUUUAAUAAGAAAAUUGGUUGUUAUUCUCUCUUCGGCAAGCCUUUUUUCACAUUUUCUUUGUUUUUUUUAAAAAUGUUUUAAAAUGAGCAUGAAUUUAAUUUUGUAGUUCCAAGAGAAAAGAUUGCAACUAAAUUGCCAAUCCAUCACCGACGUUAUAGAUUGAUGAACAAUACCAAAGGGGGUGUUAUGAAAUAAUGAGAAUAAAUAAUAAGAAAAAUAGAAUAAGAACACAUAGAUAUAUGUGGAAAACUUUAGACGAGAAAAGAUGGAGCACAAGCAAACAAAGAUGGAAAAGGAGCUGACCAGGAAGGUAGAGGAAUUGAGAAAGGAAGCAGAGACAACCAUGUUGAAGGAGCAAAGUCUGUUGGAGGAAAAGGCCAACGGUGAGAAGGCACUGCAAAGGAAAAAAGAAAGUGUAGAAAAGGCCAAUUCCUUUAUCACUACUAAGGCCACCAUUUCAUGAUACAGCCAUAAUAAUGGAUGUUUAAACAGUGUGAUUAGAUAUAAGUUUGCCAUUCAUAUAUGGAAAAUAUUAACAAAACUGAGCUUCGGCUUUCGAUGAGUCCAGGUAAAAUCAAUAUCAAUAUAACCUUAGCAGGUGAAUCAUCAUAGUGAAGUUUUUGGAAUUUCAAUGCAUGAACAUAAAGCCACUAAAAGGGCCCCUACUAUUCAACUGUUAUUGGUUCAAGGGUUGUAUUUAGUCAGCGUAUAAUGAGGUAGAUAUUUUGAUUAUAAGGCGAGUCGCGAGUCUCAAGAAGUGAUCUCGAUGUUUGACCAGAGAGCCUUACACCAUGGGUGUGAUUUGUCAAACAAUAGUUCAUUUCUGCUUCAUGGUUGUGCCUUGAGGUAAGGCUUUAGAGGCAUAAGCCUCAAAAGCCUCUUAAAAUUGGUUCUACACUUCUUUGCAUGGUGAAUGCAAGUUCCAAAUUUUGAUGACUUGGUAAUGUUGGAGUAAUUGUGUUGAAAGCAGUCAAACACAAACAAUUAUUAAAGAAGAUAAAAAUUUUGAAGAAUUAAAAUUUUAUUAUAUUCUACCACUCUUUUUUAUUCAAAUGUUACAUAAUAUCUUAUUUAUAGAUACCAACACUUAACUAAAAAUGACAUAAUUAAAAGUAAAUUAUCAUUUGAUUGCAAUGGAUUCAAUAGAACAUGGUGGAUAUGCUCAAUUUUUGUCCAUCAAUAAAAUUUGAUUUGAGUGAAUAUAAUUAGAGUAAAAUAGUCUUUUUAACUAUCACUUUUACAAUAAAAAGUGUUUUAUUUAAAUAAAUAUUUAAUAAAAUUUUAAAAAUAUUUUUCAAAAAUAAUUAUAGUAUUUUCUAAGAAACAUUUGAUAAAUAAUUAUUAUAAAAAUACUUUUAAAAACACUUCCUUGAAAGUACUUCAAAGUUGGUCAAAUGGUAAGUUAUACAUCAGGAUCUUAAUGAUGGUCCAUGUAACCAUCACCAUUGAUUGUUUUCUAAAACACAACUUCAAUUUAAAUAAUAUUUUAAGGCAAGUCCUAGUUAUCAUAUUUUACAAGAUAUUUUUUAAAAUUAUUGUUUUUUUUUCUUUCAAAAUCCCAAGAGGGAGGUCACCAAUAUGAAAAUAAUGUGACCCAUCUCUAUACUAUUGUCUCCAUUAUUUGGACUACAUAAUAGUUUCCUUAUUGACAACAUGGUAGCCACGUUAAAUACCUACAACUUUGAAAACAAGAUCUCAAAACUAUGCCUAUUUGAUUAUAAGGCUUAAUUAUUAUAGUUUAUCAUUUCCUAGCAUAGUUCUUAGCAUCUAAGUAUUUUUUAUAUAAGAAUUUUUCUUAUUUUUCAAGCUUGCAUUUUGUUUUAAAAAAAUUUGAGUUGUUUACAAUCAUUUUGAAAAUGUCAACUCAUAAUUGUAUACAUUUUAGUUCUAUAAAGACUAAAAUCACUAAAUGUCAUGGUAAUACUAUUUAAGGUAAUUUGCUUUAAAUGAGAAUGUGCUUAUAUACAACUUAUGGUAAUAAUAGAGAUCAAAUUUAAAAAUACAUAAGUUUUAAAUUAUAUAUUAGUAUAUUUAUGUUUCCUUCAUAUUUUUUAUCCUAAAAACACAUUAAAUGUAUGCUCUUGAAUUCCUUCAUGUUUUUGACAUAAUAAGAUUUGAUAUAAUGAUAAAUCAACUAUUAUUAUUUAAUAAUAUGGAGCUUUGACUUUUGACAUUUAAGUAACAUUGUCAAUGAAAGCUUCAUUAUUUUUGCUUCAUGGAAGAGCAAAUGAUGUGAUUGAAUUACACUUCAAUUAUGUUUGAUUGUUUGAAAAUACUCGAGAAAAAUAAAUAUUAAAGAAAAUAAUUUUUUCAUAUUUGAUUUUACUAUAUAAAAAUAAUAUAAUUAAAAUUAGUAAUAGAUUUAAAUAUUUUUAAAUUGCUUAAUCUUUAUAUAAAAGAGUUAAAUAAAUAAAACGAGUUUAAAACAUAAUAUACAGGUAAUUUAUUGACUUUAAAUCUUUUUUUUUUUACUUCACUUUUUCUUUCCUUCUCUUUUUCCUCUAUCUUCUUUCUUUCAUAUUUUCCCUCAUGCUUUUUGGAACUGAACAUAUUCACAUAUAUCCUUGAUUUCUAGUGGGUUUAUGAAAUUUGAGUAGACAUAAUUAAUGGGUCAAUCUUUAUUUUUCAUUUGACAUAAUUAAAAUAUCUCUUUGAUGAGAUCAUCUUAGAUAAAUUGUUAUUUGAUUGCACCAUAUUCAAUCGAAUUUGAUAGUCUAGGUAUCAUAAACCAUACAUGUUGUGCACUAUUUACAGUAAAUGAAUAGCCACAAACCAUACAUAGAGGAGAUGAGAAUUUCAUUAUAAAUCAUACGAUAAUUAUAAAGGAUAUGAUAUUAACUUGCAGUAAAUUGCAACAUUGACACUCUAAUGCUGGAUUGGAGGAUGGGCAAUGGGCUCAGAGUAACUAGACAAAGUAAGUGUGAUUAUUGCUAACUUUCCUCAUCUUUCGUGGGCCUUUUGGGUGUUUUUUGUGCAAAAGGUGCAAAAGGCUAUAACUAAAUUGCCAAUCCAUCACCAACAUUAUAGACUGAUGAAGAAUACCAAUGGGGGUGUUACGAAAUAAUGAGAAUAAAUAAUAAGAAAAAUAGAAUAAGAACACAUAGAUAUAUGUGGAAAACUCUAAACGAGAAAAACCAUGAGAAGAGGAAAAGAAGAUUCGUUAUGUCAAAAAUUGGUACAAAAUGGGAGAGUUGAAAGUGACUACAACAAAAACAUAAUCAUCAUAACCCUAAAACUAUACAUCAUUAUUAUAUAUAUAUAUAUAUAUAUAUAUAUGCGAGAGUUGAGAACAACUAUGGGAUGAGGUCUAUUGACCCGAUCUCUUCACUACCCCCACAAAUCUCUCAAAAAAUCUUAUAAUUUUAACUUUACUACAUAUAUUGCAUCGUGAGCUUUUCGAAUCGAAUAAAAAAGAAUUUGGAAUCAUCAAACUUUAACAAAGGGAGUGAGAUCAUAACUUUGGAAGGAUUUUUAAAAAAAAAAUGUAGACUUAAAUGGUAAAUAUUAAAGUGUGUUUGAGAGUGAUACUCGAAAGUAUUUUCAACAUUUUUAAUAUUUGAAAAAUAAAAUUUUUUAAAUAUUAAAAACAUUAUCUAAAAUCAAUAUCAAAAAGCAUUUUAUAAAAUCAGUAUCAAACUAUCAAACAUAAUUUGAAUUUAAAUAGAGACAAGAACAACAUUGACUCUUGACUCACUAAACCAGUCUCAGUUCACUUAUUGAAUGAAAAGAAAAUAAUUAAAAAUAAAGAACAACAUCCAUGAGUAUAUAUAAUAUAUUCAUUUGCAGCUCUUGAAUGCAAAUAAUUUAAUAAUUUUUUUUAUAAUUAAUUAAUGAAGAUAAAAAUUUGAUAAUUAACAUACAAUUAUGUUGAUAUUUUGACAUUAUAUUCAAUUCACCAAAUAAGAUUGUUUUUCACCCAACAAUAAUUUAUGUAGAAUAAUAAAUAAAUUAAAUUAGUUGGAAGUUAAUUUUAAUUUGAUUUAAUUAAAAAUUGGUUAAAAAAUGUUUUUCAUUUAAAAAUUAAUUGUAGAAUAAUAAAUAAAUAAAUAUAUUCGUAACCAAAGCAUUUGAUUAAAAAUUGGUUUUCAUUUAAAAAGAUAAGUUGGAAAUUAAUUUUAAUUUGAUUUAAUUAGAAAAUUGAUUUUUUGCUGGUUAAGUUUGUUUUAAUUUGUAAAUUCAUGUAAAUAAAAAAAAAGGAUAAGAAGAUAAUUUUCAUGUGAAAAAUCAUUUAAUUUGAAAAUAAAUGAUGUAAUGUGUUUCAUUGGCGGUUAGCACUUAGCAUUUUGCAUUUUUUCUUGUUUGUAUAACUUUUUAAAAUGUAAAAGAUAAUAAUAAAAUAGGAAAUAAUUAAUAAAUUAAAAAAAUAAAAUAAAUGAUCGUUGAUGGCCCCCCACAAAAUGUGUCAUAUGACUUGGAUUAUUUUUUUCUCUUUUUAGUAAAACAAACUUUUAAAAUAAAUAAAAAAUAAAAUAGGACAUAAUUGAAUCCCACUGUUAGUGAAUGCAAAAGGGCUUCACCCAACCAGAAAUAAUUGAAAGGACGCUUUAUUUUUACUUUUUCCAAAGUCUGUAGUAGCAAUUUUAAUGGGAUACAGUUGUAAAGAACCAGACAUCCUCACCACCAUCGUCUCAGACUCUCAGCAUUCAAAGACCCCUUUGAAUUUUCUUCUUCCAAAUUCUGUUCUUGUAAUUUUGUUACAAUCCAACCAUGACUUCCUCUAGCAAUUCUAAGAGACCCUCUUCAUCUUCUUCUUCUUCUUCCAAUUCUAAAUGCUAAUUAAUAAUUGAGAGUGCAAUUAAUAAUUGAGGCAGGACUUUGACUCUCGUGAACCCCCCCACUCUCACUCAAUGCUAAUUGCUAAAGGGUUACGGGCUUACAGCCGAUCAAAGAUAAUUGAGACAGAAGAACCAGACAUCGUCUCACACUUUGUUUUUUCUUCUUCCAAAUUUUGUUACAGUCCAACCAUGGCUUCCACUAGCAAUCCCAAGAGACCCUCUUCUUCUUCUUCUAAUUCUAAAUGGAGGUACGAUGUGUUCUUGAGUUUCAGAGGCAAGGAUACCCGCAACAACUUUACUAGUCAUCUCUACAAGGCUUUGGAUCAUGCCAACAUUGAAACCUUUAUAGAUGAUGAAGGACUUCCAAGGGGAGAAGAGAUUGCGCCCGAGCUCCUAAAAGCUAUUGAAGGAUCAAGGAUUGCCCUUAUUGUCUUCUCGAAAACCUAUGCUGAUUCCAAGUGGUGCUUGGAUGAACUCGUCAAGAUCAUGGAGUGCGAGAAAGAAAAGGGACAACAGGUUUUUCCUAUUUUCUAUCAUGUAGAGCCGUCUGAAGUCAGGAACCAGACUGGGAUUUAUGGAGAAGCAUUUAACAAUCACGAAAGAAAUGCAGACGAGGAGAAGAAGAAGAAGAAGAUAGAGCAGUGGCGGACUGCCUUAAGGAAAGCUGGUAAUUUGAGUGGAUUUCCUCUGCAGGAUAGGUAAUCCCUACUUCACUUUUUCCAUUCCCAAUUUUCUGUCAGUUUAUUUUCAUUCUUGUUAAUAAAUAAAAUAUUUAUGAUUACAUUUAUCAAUCAAAAUCCAUUUUUAAGUAGUAGACAUUAAUAUGUUCGAUUUCUUGGAAAGUAAUAAGAAAGAGUAAAAAAAAAUAAUAAUAAUAAUAAUAAAUGAUUUUCUCACAUUUAAUUUAUUAUUAAAAUUAUAAAAGGAAAUCAAAUAUAAUUAAAAUAUAUCAGAAAAAAUUAUAUUUGCCCAGCAGAUGGAAAUGCCAAGUUUUGAAUUGUUAAAAAUCUUUAAGAUUCCAAAAUAUUCUUCCUUUCUAAUCGAUCCAUCUCAGCCAUAAUUUCUAUCAAUUAAAAAAAAAUGGUAGUCUGUCAAAUAAAUUGUUAAAAUUGGUUAUUUAUAUGCCUUGUAAAUUUGGAGAUAAUCUGAGAUGAUUAUUUAAAAUAUUGUAAUACUACCCUAAAUUUUGUUGGACCUCUUAUGAGACAAAAAACUUAGUUAUUGCACCCUUAACCUUUUUCAAUUUUAGAGGAAUUUUCUAUUACUUAAAUAAUUUUCUCAUGUUCUCUAUGCACUACAUGAGUUUACAUUUCUUCUUUACUUAAUAUUGUUUGUUCCUCUAUAUUUGCAAGUUGAUUAUUAAAUUUAUUUACCUUUUAAUCUAAUGUUUGUAUCUCGUUUUAUUCUAAUUAUCCCAUGACUCUUCUUAAGACCUUGUCUUUCACGUUGAAUCAUCUAAUGCUAAACUUAUUCCCUUGCUAUUCUACUUUGUGUACUCAUGGGAUUAAUAUAUUGAAAUUGAAAUUGUUUUUUUUUUCUCUCUCUUUUUCUCUUGUAUGUUCUACAUUCUUCUAUGCCUCAAUUACAAAUAAAAGCAAGCAACCUUAGAGCUUGUUUGACUUGAAACUAAUGUUCAAAAAAUAGUUUUCCCCAACCCAAUGUUGAAAAUAAUGAACAAAAUUUUAUUUGAAAAUUCAAAUAUGAAAAAAGUCUUUCUCAACUUAUGAACUAUGAAGGUAUUAUAAAUUUAUGUACAAUAUAACUUUUUCUAAGUAUUAUCUAUAUUUUCAUUUCUUUAUCACAAUACUCUAUAAGAAAAUACUUAUAAUCAUCUCAAAUAUGCUCUUAAAAAUGAACUUGUUUACCGAAAAAAAUUUUGAAAAAAAUUUUUAGUAAAAAAAAAUAAAAUAUAUAUUUAAGUUAUUAAACUAUUUUAUAUUCUAGAGAAAAAAAAAUCCAUUUUCAAAAACAAUAUCAAUACAUGCAUUUUUCUUUUAAGUAUCAUUUAAAAAUCUUUUUCCACAAGUCUAAUUGUUGCUAGGCUUUUGACCAACAAACAAACACGUGUCACUUUCCUUGUCAUUCUAAUUUAUAUUUGGAAAAAAAAUGGGGAUUUCAUCAAAAUAUGAAACUUACGUAGCAAUUAUUAACAACCUAAAUAUAAAUAGAAGUACAACUAAAAUGUACUUGUUUACAAAAUAAAUAGUUGAAAGUCUUAUAAGUAUAGAGGAUGGUCAUAAGUCAUGCUAUAAUUAAUAAAAGCAUUGCUAGGUUACAGAACUUGGGUGACAAAUUGGUAGAUUUCUAGCCAAACUAGUAUUGGUCUCUAUAAUAAAAUCUCUUAUCAUAAAAGAUAACGAUACAUUAGAAAGGUCAACUUCAAUUUGGACCUUUAGAAGCAAUUGAGGUAUUUACAUUGUUUUAUUGCACAUAUACUUGACUUAAAACAAUGAAAUUUUAUUCAAACAUGCGACUCAAUACAUUUUUAAUUUACAUUCUAUUUGACCUUAAUUUAGUUGCAUUGAAUGGAGCUAAACACCAUUCUAUAAUUUCCAUUUACUUCAUCUUAGUUUUCUUUGGCAAUUGAUUCUAACUCACUGCAUGUUUUAUUGUACUUUAUAAUGGACAGAUCUGAGGCAGAGUUUAUUGAAGAUAUCAUUGGUGAGAUUAGAAGAUUGAUUCCUAAGUUGGUAGAUGUUGGUAAGAACAUGGUUGGAAUGGAUGGAAAUUUGAAACAAGUGAAGUCAUUGAUAGAUGCCCAAUCAAAUGAAGUGAGCAUGGUUGGGAUUUAUGGGAUUGGUGGGAUUGGUAAAACUACCAUCGCCAAGGUUGUUUACAAUGAUAUGUUAUAUAAAUUUAAACGUCACAGCUUUCUUGAAAAUGUGAGAGAGAAAUCUAAAGGUGGUCGUGGUUUACUUGAAUUACAAGAAAAACUUCUUUGUGAUAUCCUAAUGGAGAAAAAUCUGGAGUUAAGGAAUAUUGAUAAAGGAAUUGAAAAGAUAAAGAGUGAGUGUUGCUUUGAAAAGGUUCUUAUUGUUCUUGAUGAUGUAGAUUGCCCAAGACAAUUAGAAUUCUUAGCUCCUAAUUCUGACUGUUUUCAUCGAGGAAGCAUAAUCAUUGUGACCACGAGAAAUAAACGUUGCCUAAAUGUAUAUGAGUCGUAUUCAUCAUAUGAGGCUAAGGGAUUAGCACGUGAGCAAGCUAAGGAACUCUUUUGUUGGAAUGCCUUUCGAAAACACCAUCCAAAAGACAAUUAUGUGGACCUCUCUAAUCGUAUACUGGAUUAUGCUAAAGGCCUUCCAUUGGCUCUUGUAGUUUUGGGUUCUUUUCUCUUUCAAAGGGAUGUGGAUGAAUGGGAAAGCACAUUGGAUAAACUCAAAACAAACCCUCUCGAAGAUAUUCAAAAGGUACUCCAGAUAAGUUAUGAUGGACUAGAUGAUAAAUGCAAAAAGUUGUUUCUUGAUAUUGCAUGCUUCUUCAAAUAUAAGGAUGAAAAAUUUGUUACAAGAAUACUAGAAGGUUGCAAAUUCCAUCCCAAGAUUGGACUAAGAGUUCUUGAUGAGAGAUGUCUUAUCUCUAUAACGUACGGCACUAUAAGGAUGCAUGACUUGUUACAAGAAAUGGGUUGGGCAAUUGUUCGCCAAAUUGAUCCAGAAUGUCCUGGAAAAUGGAGCAGAUUGUGGGAAUUACAAGAUAUUGAAAGUGUAUUUACCCGAAAUAAGGUAAGAGAAAAAUACAUGAAUAUACUUGAGACCUAAAGACAUAAAAGAUUCAACAAGAUUUAUUUUUAUUAUUAUUAUAGUCUGAGUACCUUAUCUAUAUAAUUUUAUCGAAUCCCUAUGCAUCUUAUACUACUUUUUCUCAAUGCUUGUUUUCAGGGGACAAAAAACAUUGAGGGGAUAUUCAUAAAUCGGUCUUGGGAUACAAAAAAACGUAUACAACUUACUGCUGAAGCUUUCAGAAAGAUGAAUCGACUUAGAUUGCUCAUAGUUAAAGGCAAUAUGGUGCAGCUUUCCCAAGACUUUGAAUUGCCUUGUCAUGAUUUAGUAUAUUUUCAUUGGGAUAACUACCCUUUGGAAUAUUUGCCAUCAAAUUUUCAUGUAGAAAAUCUUGUUGAACUUAACCUCUGGUACAGCAACAUAGAACAUCUUUGGGAAGGAAACAUGGUAUUGCUAUUAUUUAGUUAUAUUUUUGCUCUAGACUAAUUUUAAAGUCUUUUGAAGUUUACUUAUUGAAACGAAUUUUCUUCUGUUACAGACUGCUAGAAAGUUAAAGGUCAUUAAUCUCAGUUAUUCCAUGCAUCUGGUUGGUAUUUCAAGCAUCUCAAGUGCACCAAAUUUGGAGAUUCUAAUUCUAAAAGGUUGUACAAGGUUACUUACUUGUUUCACCCAUGCUUAAUGUUAUUAUUAGUCAUGAGCUAACUGUUUUCUUGAAUAUAAUAGGAUGCAAGAGACUUGAGAGUCUUCCAAGGAACUUUCAUAAGCUGGAAUGCCUUCAAACACUCUCUUGUGAUGGCUGUUCAAACUUAAAAAGUUUUCCGAAGAUCGAGGAAGAAAUGAGAAGUCUAAGAAAGCUUCAUUUAAGUCAUACAGGUAUAAUGGAAUUACCAUCAUCAAUUAGCAAUCUAAAUGGGCUUGAAAAGUUGGACUUAGGUUAUUGCAAAAACCUUUUGAGUCUUCCGGACAGUAUUUUUAGUUUGAGUUCUCUUCAAACUCUGAAUCUAUUUGAGUGUUCAAAACUAGUGGGCUUUCCGGGUAUCAAUAUUGGAAGUCUAAAAGCUCUUGAAUAUUUGGAUUUGUCAUAUUGUGAGAACAUUGAGAGUCUUCCGAACAAUAUUGGUAGUUUUAGCUCUCUUCAUACUCUUUCAUUGAUGGGGUGUUCAAAACUGAAGGGCUUUCCAGAUAUCAAUAUUGGUAGUUUUAGCUCUCUUCAUACUCUUUCAUUGAUGGGGUGUUCAAAACUGAAGGGCUUUCCAGAUAUCAAUAUUGGAAGUCUAAAAGCUCUUCAAUUGUUAGAUUUCUCACGUUGCAGAAACCUUGAGAGUCUUCCGAACAAUAUUGGUAGUUUGAGCUCUCUUCAUACUCUUUUAUUGGUAGGGUGUUCAAAAUUGAAGGGCUUUCCAGAUAUCAAUUUUGGAAGUCUAAAAGCUCUUCAAUUGUUAGAUUUCUCACGUUGCAGAAACCUUGAGAGUCUUCCCAUGAGCAUUUACAAUUUGAGCUCUCUCAAAACAUUGAGGAUUACAAAUUGUCCAAAACUCGAGGAAAUGUUAGAGAUUGAAUUAGGGGUUGAUUGGCCACUUCCACCUACAACCAGUCACAUUUCAAAUUCAGCAAUAAUCUGGUAUGAUGGCUGCUUUUCCUCAUUAGAAGCAUUAAAACAAAAGUGCCCCCUGUCAUCACUGGUAGAAUUAUCUGUAAGAAAGUUUUAUGGCAUGGAAAAAGACAUCCUCAGUGGCAGUUUCCACCUAUCCUCAUUGAAAAUAUUAUCUCUAGGGAACUUCCCUAGCAUGGCAGGAGGAAUCCUCGAUAAGAUUUUCCAUCUAUCUUCAUUGGUAAAAUUAUCUCUUACUAAAUGCAAGCCAACGGAAGAAGGAAUCCCCAGUGAUAUUCGGAACCUAUCUCCACUGCAACAAUUAUCUCUACAUGACUGCAAUCUAAUGGAAGGAAAGAUCCUCAAUCAUAUUUGCCAUCUAACAUCCUUGGAAGAAUUACAUCUGGGUUGGAACCAUUUUAGUAGCAUUCCUGCUGGCAUCAGUCGACUUUCCAAUCUAAAAGCCCUUGACUUGAGUCACUGCAAGAACCUUCAACAAAUUCCAGAGCUUCCAUCAAGUCUACGAUUUUUAGAUGCGCACUGUUCGGAUCGUAUUUCAUCAAGCCCCUCGCUUCUACCUAUUCAUUCUAUGGUCAAUUGCUUCAAAUCAGAAAUUGAGGUAUGAUUCUCAUGCCACGUUCCUUUUUCUUUCGUACCCAUUGGAUUUACAUGGUGCUUUUGUGCAGGACUGCGUGGUUAUUCAUCGUUAUUCUUCCUUCUGGGGCAAUGGAAUUGGUAUUGUUAUUCCUAGAAGUAGUGGAAUUCUAGAGUGGAUAACGUAUCGGAAUAUGGGAGGGCAUAAAGUAACAAUAGAGCUCCCUCCGAAUUGGUAUGAAAAUGAUGACUUGUGGGGAUUUGCUUUAUGCUGUGUUUAUGUUGCACCUGCCUGUGAAUCUGAGGAUGAAUCUCAGUAUGAAUCAGGUCUUAUAUCUGAGGAUGACAGUGACCUUGAAGAUGAAGAAGCAAGCUUUUAUUGUGAAUUGACAAUCGAAGGAAAUAAUCAAUCAGAAGACGUGGCUGGUUUCGUUCUUGAUUUUCGCUGUGUUAAGGAUGAUGUAUCAGAUAUGCAGUGGGUGAUAUGUUAUCCCAAGUUAGCUAUUGAGAAAAGUUAUCACACCAAUCAAUGGACACACUUCAAGGCUUCAUUUGGUGGGGCCCAAGUGGCAGAGUGCGGAAUCCGUCUGGUAUACACAAAAGAUUAUGAACAGAAACAUCCAACAAUGGCACAAGGCAGUACUUCUCAUGGGAAUUUUGGUGAGCAUGGAUCAGUAAGAGAAGAUGGCAGUACUUCUCAUGGGAAGUUUGGUGACCAUAGAUUAGUAAGAGAAGCUUUACUACUCUAAAGAUACUAAUAGUAAAGAUCACAAUAAAAGGAAUCCCACAGAACAGAGCCCAGGAGAGGAGUCACGUACACCAUAAAAGAUUCAGAGAAACCCAAGACUGAUCCCAAGCAUUAGGCUCAACCACACUUGCAUCAAUAAUGUUCUCUUCCUGGUAAUUCAUCUUCUUUUCUCUUUCAAAUUCAAAGGUCAGAAAUUUUUUUAUCAUGUUUCUCCUUUUUAUUUGUUUUUUCCCCAAGACAAACAAAAAUUUGUGGCUAUCAUCCAUGGGUGCAAACUUCAAUGGUACACCUCCCAAGUUUGUUUUUCUCUCUCUCCAACCGUCUCUCCCUAGAUUUUUCUGCAUUUUCUUCAAACUCAUAUUUCUAUAUGAAAUUCAAUUACAUUCGAGCAUUUCAAUCUCUGUAGCUAAUGUCUGAAUCAUUUCUAGGGUUUCUUUUUUCUGGAAGUUUGUAAUGUUAUUGAUUUAUGACUUGAUGUUUGGGGAUGUUUUGGGUGGCUUGUUCACUUUUUUAUAGCGAUGAUUUAUGGAACCAGAGUUUCUUAGCAGGAAAUGGAACUCGUGUGUUUUAGAAUAUUGGCGUUAUUUGCUUGUGCCCUGUUUGGUUGCUGAGAAAGAGUGGAAGGAGGAUGGAGAAUUAAAUAAUUUUCAAUCUAAGCAAUGAGAAAUUAGAUUUGGGUAUUUGGGCCAUUGGAGUUAUUUGCUCUUACUCAGUUUGGUUUCCAGGAAACUGCAGGCAAAGCAUGGAAAAUAAAGUAUUUUUAAAUUAAUUACCAGGAAAUGGAAUGUACGUAUUUGUCUCUUUGGAAUAUAAACAUCAGUAUUCACUCUUCAAGAAUGUAUAUGGUUGUUGUUUUGGAAUUUUGAAAUUACUUAGCAUCAGACAAUUUCUAACUUGGGAUUUGGAUUGGGAAUCAUAAGUAAUCAUUAGAGAGUAUAUGAGAAGGAGUUUUAGAGUAAGACAGGGUGAUGCAUGUUGAGGGAUGCGUCUCACCCUGGAGUUCUUUGGAAUAAUUAUAGGAUUUUGUAAGUAACUUUGGACUUAUUAGCAAUGUUCUGGAUUUGUGAAUAAUUUAUAGAAUACAUUGGGUGUUUUUUUUUUUUUUUUUUUUUGAGAGUGAAUAAUGUAUGACUGUACUCUUCUCUAUCUCUGUGGUAUGGCACACGUAUGAUUUGGUGCUUUUUUGCAGGCCUUCAACAGCAGCAAAGCAUCUGGUGGCUUGCAGUACUAAUCUUGCAUUAUAUUCUCUGUUUUGCAAUCAUUUGGUACUGUUUGUCCCAACCAAGGAUAGCUCUGUGCAAGCAGUCUCGACUGUGGAACAAGUAAAACAAAUGGUACCUGCUGAAGCUGAGAGGGCAGAUGAUAAGCUGGUGCGGAAGGUGGUCAACCAAAAGAAUCAGACAGCAAAAACUAAAAAGCCCAUCAAGCCUGCUACUGAAGCAGCCUCAGCACCUGUUUCUGGGAGGGGUGAGAUUGAAGUGACUGAAGAAAAGGAGCAUGAGCAAACAAAGAAGGAAGAGGAGUUGGCCAGGAAGGUAGAGGAAUUGAGAAGUGAAGAAGAAGCAGCCAUGUUGAAGGAGAGAAAGCCAACGUUAAGGAGGCACUGGAAAGGAAACAAGGAACUGCAGAAAAGGCCAAUUUCUCUGUGAGUGCUGCCACCUUUUCAUAAUAAUGGAUGUUAAAAGCAGUCUAACUCUACAUGGCGUUUAUUUUCCCCAGCCAUGGAUUGGAAUCUGCCAGUCUAACUCUCAUAAGAAACAAAAUUUUCCAUCCUCAUAUGGAUUAUUGGAGAAGAUUUUAACAUGGAGUUCACUAGAGAGUUUCUAACACCCACUCAAAAAGGACAUUUUAGAGAACUUAUUGAAAAGUUACAUCAGAGUACAUAAAUUUUUAGAUAUUUUUAAAAAUAUCUGAAAAAUUAAAUUAACUAAAAGUAUUUGAAAAAUAUUUGAUUGAAUUAAUAAAUAACUAGUAUUUGCAUAUGAAAAAAUAGUAAACAUAGUCAAUAAUUUUUUUUUUAAUAAUUAGCACAUAAUAAUCAUAAAUUAAUUUAUGGCAAGACCUCAUAUUUGUUGUGGUGACUGUGUUGUCUUACCAUUCUUCUUUCAUGAUGGGCUUAAAUUUUAAUUUAAAUGUAGUAUAAAUAUAUAAUUAGAUUGAUAUUUCGUCCACUAGAAUUGAUUGGGUCUGAAUUUGAACCCUGGUCUUGAAUUUCUUGGCCCAACCAACGAAAUCAUUGACCAACGGCCCUUAGUUUGGGCUGGGCUUGAUGGUCCUCAGGUUAUGCAGGCUUAAUACUGAUUGGGUUUGGGCUUCCAUGCAGUUGUACUUGGAUUCUAUGUUUCCUAAUAUUAACACUAAAAUUAGGUUUAAUUUAUUAACACUAAAUUAGGUUUCAUUUAUAAUUAAAUAUAAUUAGUUUGAGAAUAACUCCAAUCUUUAGUUAAACCAACUAAGUUUUAUGCAAAGGUUUAUAUUCCUAAUACCAUUGAAAAACUAAAUUUAUGUGGAAGUUUGACUGAUACCAACAUUAAAUUAUUAAGAUAAAUUGAAAAAAAAAAAAUCAUGCUCGUAUGUCCUGUUGUUUGUCAUAAGAAAAUUUCUUUUCAGAUUUUUUUUUUCUUUUAAUACAUCUUUACAUUUUUAAUAACAAUCCAUAGGAUUGUUCCCAAACAUAUAUCAUAUAAAUAUAUCUUUUUUGGAUUUUUAAGAAUGUUGUCAAACAAACUCAUAAUACCAUUCUUUCUUUACAAUUACCAAUCCAUAUGAUGAAUUUAUUCCUUUCAAUAACUGACAUCAUCUAAUAAAAAUUAUAAUUAGGUAUUAUAUUUAAAAAGUGUUUAAUAAAUCAAUUUAAUAACUUAAGUGAUUUAAUAACUUAAUUUAAAUUAUUAAAAUAAUUUGAUGUCACAAUUUAAAGUUAAAAUUGAUUUAAUUAAUUUUUAUUUAAAUUUAAAACUAUGUUUACAAAAAAGGCUUAAAAUUCAUAUCAAUUAAGAAAUUAAGUUAUUAAGUUACUUUAAGUCAUUAAAUUAAUCUACCAAUUAAACACCCUUUAAGAUAUGAUAUAAAGUUCACCUCCUACAUAUCAUGAAAAUUAAAAAUUAAUUACCACAUCAAGAAUCUUUAGUUCCUAAUCGAUUUAAUAUUUAAUCCUUGGUUGUGAAUUUCUUUAUAUAUGUAGAUAUAUUUUUAUAUUGCAAGUGGGCUGCCGACUUUUCAUUUUAUACUAGUUUUGAAAAUAAGAUUGUAGUUUUUAUUUUGUCCAAAUCUAAUUUGGAGGGAGAAUCUUUAGAGGCUAUUUUAUAUUCAAAUAGGAAAAUUUUAAAUUUAAUAGUCCCACCUUAUAAAGGCAAAUAUCUUGGACCCUACAUGGGUGCCUCUUACAUGCAUGCACGAGGACAAAGACUUAUUGAAAGCCUCUCUCAUUCACAUGGAUGCCAUCAUUCAUCGAAGUUGAAACAUGAAACCCACACAAAAUAUUUGGGCAAAAGCAACUUCAAUAUUUUUUUUCAUUACUAUAGCUGAGAAUCUCAAUAUUAUUAAAUAGUAAUAAAAUUAAUUUUAAUAUUUUUUUUCUUAUUUUUUCCUCCUUGUGGUUAUAUUUUCAUCCGGAAAGUAUUAAAUAUUAAAAAAGAAUAAAAUUUAAAAAUUAAUUUUUCAUAUUUAAUUAUAUUGUGAAAAAUAUAAAAUAAAAUAUAAUAUAAUUAAAAUUAGUUAAAAUUUUAUAUUUUUAUAAAAUUAUUUAACUUUUUUAUAAAAAUUUAAAAUAAGUGACAUGAGUUUGAAAUAGUAUACAUAUUGACUUUAAAUUUAAUUUUUAUAUUUUUCAUUUUUCUUUUUAACUAUUCUUCUUUCUUCUCUUUCUCUCAACUUUUCCUUCAAAUUUUCCAAUAACCAAACAUAACCUAUUUGUUUCAUAAAAACUCUUUUACCUUUUUAAAUUUUUAAAAGAGUUGCUUACAUAAUAUGGAGCUAAUAGUAUUACUUGUACCUAUUAAUUUCUUUUAAGAUUAAAUUGUUCUAACUUUGUGUGAUAAAAAGUUUGUAAAGUCCAAUUUUACGAAAGAAAAUAUAUGAUUAGUGACUCCCUUGCAUUUCCUUUGGGAUUCACCCCUUCAUACUUACCGUAAAUAGUUGUACCAAUUAAUCAAACAAAAAACAUAGCAUGUAAAUAGUAAUAUGUUAAAGUUUUCUAUCGUGCCUAAGUUUAAUUAGUUCUACUUAUUUAUAUAUUGAAAUGAAAGUAAGCAUAUAUUUAAGUGGUCCAUCAAAUUUGAAACUAAUCUAUUGUAAUUACAUUCAUGUCUAUAUCAUUUAUAUUGUACAUAACUUGAGUACAUUAAAAAUUGUACAAAAAAUCCAAAUUACAAGGAAGUUUAUAUAAACUCUCUUAGGAUUAGACACUGUUAGUCAUUGCCUUCUAAAAAGCUUUCAUCUCUUUCUCCCUCAAGAGGUUUGUAGUCACUUUACACAAGUGUCAAAACUCAAAAGAGUGAUCUAAUGAAGAUGACGAGGUGAUUGAGAUCCUUUUCAUAAACUGGAGUUUGAUAUGGGAACAUUCAUAUCGAAGGUAAAAAUUUUUAUCAGCAACUAGACUUACUUUUAUCUUUCCUUAUAAUUAAACCCAAUAAUCCUAGGUUGUUAGAGACCACACACCUAUGAUCCAAGGGUUUUCCCAACAAGGAUAUCAAUAAAUCUUUCUACUCUAUUGAUGGCAUCUUGAAUUCUUUCAAAUUAAUCACUUCAUUGUAAUCGUUAUUCACUAAAUCCCAUAAAUCUUGAGAUCUAAACAUGACAUUCAUAUGAAUGCAUCAAUUAUUAUAAUUCUUACUUAUGAAUUUUGAAAGUUGAGAUUCAAUUGAGUUAUUAUUUACCAUCAUUACUUUAACAACCAAAUUGCAAAUUUCUUUAUACUAUUCACAUUCUCUGGCAGCCUUUGACCUUCCCUAAUCUUUAGCCUCUAGCUAAUACCACUUGUUUGAGCUCCCAUAAUUGGGCAGCAUUGACAAUAAUUUACUAAAAUAACAUUUUAUUCUAUCCUACUCUCUCUUUGUCAACAUAAUAAUAAACCUCUAUUUAAAAUAAGUUGAUCAUAUUUGCAUUAUCACUCUAAUUCAUAAUUAGAUUGGGAAACCUAAUUAAUAUCAAAUAAAUAACCAUUCCUAAUAUUUCUCAAAUUUAUAAAAUUCUUCUAAUUUGACUUUAAAUUGAUUUUUUAUUUUGACUAUAUAGCUUAAAAAGGAUAAUUUUUUAAAUAAUUAUCAAUUUCAUAUAAUCUUUAUAAGCAUUUGUGUUCAUAAAUUCCUUAUUAUGAUAUUAGGUUUUAGACAAUUUGACAAUAUGAUGAUGUUUUGGAAUGAAUGUUAAGUGAAUCCGUUUUACUCAAAACCAUUAAAUAAAAAAAAAAGACAGUUACACAAGUAAAAUAGUAGAUUAUUGAAGGCCAGGAGAAAAGAAGAGGAAAAUGAAAUAUUAUAUCCCUAUAAUGAGUUAGGUGGAUAUUUCAUGUGAAAAGUUUAAUGUGCAAGGUUGUUCAUGUCUAUUGAGUUUUGGGUAAUCAUUUUUUCAUGGAAAUUUUUUAUGGAAUCCUAAUCUUAGAAAGCAAUAGGAAAUUUUUUUACCAAGAUUUCUAAGAAAUAACUACAUCAAAGUGUAAGAAAAGUAUCAAACUAGAAUAUCUAAGAAAUUACUACAUCAAAGUGUAAUAGAAACAUCAAAUUAGAAAGUGAAAUAUAAUACAAUUCAACUAUGAAAAUGAAGGACAAAGGAAUAGACUAAUUGCCAAAGGAAAAUAGUCUUUUAGUUUUAAUCAGAAAUUUCUUAUAUCAUAAUUAUGACCUGUAGAGGCCACAUGGGUUGUUGGCCUUGGAGUGACUAAAAGGUACAACUAAAAAACGUCAAACAUUUGGAGAACUAAAAGAAAACAUGGAUAAAAUUUUUUUACCUAGAACAUUUAUAUAGAAAUAUUUUAUUUUUUAUUUUUAAAAAAUUAGUAAAGGUAGUAAAGUUUUUUAAAGAUUAUUUUGCGCCCUAAAAACAAAUCGUAAAGGCUUGUUAAAGAUUAUUUUGGAUAUGUUUCAUGCAUUAAUUUUUUUUAACAUUUCAAAUUUUUAAAUGAUUUUUAAAAGUUAUUACCUUUUAAAAUGUAAAUCUCAUAGAGUAUUUGCAUUAUAUAGGAAUUACUAUCAUUUUUAUUUUUUUUAAAAAAGAGAAAUGUAUUCAAAUAAUACCUUAAUUUUUCAUUUUCUAGUAUAAGGAAAUGAUUAUAUCUCACACAAACCUUGUUCAGAUACAUAUUUCAAAGUGAGAAAAAAAAAAUUCUUUUAGAGAAAAGAAGUCCUUCAAAAAGAAGAAAAAAAAAGGUUUUUCAAAGAAGAGUUAGAAGGAAAAGUGAAUUCAAUCUUAUAAUCAGCUAACAUGAUGUUGUUUGAUUACAUUUUUUAUUUUCUAUUUUUACAAAUAAAAUAUAAUAAUAACUCCUAUAUGAAAUAUAGAACUCUUUCAAACUUACUUUAAAAACAUAAUAAUAUUUAAAAAUUAAGAUAAAUUGUGAUAUUAAAAAAAAAAUUACUUCUUCAAAUUUUAAAAAUUAUGAAAAUAAAUUUUUAAUGACAUAAGAUAAGUCUAUAAAUUUUACAUAAAAGUUAUUAUAUUUUAUAUAGAAACUAUUACUAUUUUCUAUUUGUAAAAAUACAAAAUAAAAAAUAUAUCCAAGCAAGUACUAUGAGAAAUAGUUUCUAACAUUUCUUAUUAAGAAAAUGAGAAUAUUAAGAAGUAUAUUCCUACUACAUUGUUUUUUUUUUUAAUUUGAUAUCAACCCAUUCUAUUAGCUCUUUUGAGAAAUAUAGAAAAAUAACAUUACAUAAUUGCAUAGAACAAGAAUAUUAUUUAAGUUUGAGGCAAGUGUUAAAAAGAUAUUGUAAUUCUGUUACGUUGUUUAACUUCAAUGUCCUAUAUGUAACUGUUAGGAAUUUGAGGCUAAUCCAAACUAUAGUAAUCACCCUAGAGGGAGGGGGGGGGGGGGGGUAAAUAGGGUGAUGAUCUCUUUUUCACAAAUCUAAACUAUGCAAAAAUAAGAGACAAUUAUAUGUAAAUAUAUAAUAAACACAAUUACAUAUAAUUUAAAAAAUUUGGGAAAAAAAAGUGCAAAACCGAAAACUUAUAAUGGGUCGACACUUCCUUGGCCACCUUCCCUCUCCUUAAACCCCUAAACGAAUGAGGGUUCCCCUAUUUUGAAGCUUCCACCAAGCUUCCAAACCCUUUACAAAUGGAUUAAGGUUUCCAAUCCCCCUUUUGNNNNNNNNNNNNNNNNNNNNNNNNNNNNNNNNNNNNNNNNNNNNNNNNNNNNNNNNNNNNNNNNNNNNNNNNNNNNNNNNNNNNNNNNNNNNNNNNNNNNAGAGAGUGCAAACACGAGAGCUUAUAGUGGUUCGACACUUCCUUGCCUACGUCCACUCUCCUCAACCUCCUAACCGAGUGAGGGUUCCACUAUCUUGAAGCUUCAACCAAGCUUCCAAUCUCUUUACAAUUGGAUUAUGGUUCCAAUUCACCCUUUUGGACUUUUGGCUCCAAGCACCCUUUACACUUCUCAAAAGUUAUCCCACUCUUGAACAACCUCUCAAGUGAUACCCCUCACUUGAGAAAAUUCCUCUCAAAGAUAUACAAAGAUUGAUCUCACAAAAAUUGUAGUAAUAGAACUUUAAGCUCAAAUGAUACAAGAGAAACUAGGAUUGAAUGGUGCACUAAAGAUAUGCAAGUUUUGGAAUAAUGGUGCACUCAAAAAUACUCUUCCAAGGCUCAAAUAUAAUCAAGAAAGAUUUGGGAAGGUUUAGCUUAUCAAACAACGAAGUUUGGAGCCUUUUUAUAGAAGAAAAAAGUCAUACUAGCCGUUGGGGGUUUGAUCGGUCGAGCUAAGGGUCGACUGGUUGACUAACCAUUAGGAAAAGUGACUGUUGAGCCUCAACCGGACCUCAACCGGUUGAGGUUCAACCUUGACCGGGAAGAGAAGGCCACUAGGAGAGAGAGAAAGUUUUUGGCCUCCCUCAACCGGUCCUCGACCGGACGAGCACAACCAAUCGACCAGUUGAACCGGUUGAGCCAUUUUUUUGGCUCAACACUCAACAUUUUUCAACUUAAAACCUUUUAACACAAAUUUGAAAAUCAUUUAACACAAGGUUUUAGUUGAAAACAUUAAAUCAUCCAAUUCUUAAGAUAUUUAAAACAAUAUUACUCUUGGAUAAUUUUGGUGCAUAAAUAAAUAAUGAAAUGCAUGAAAGUCCUAGUGCACCAACAACCUUACAAAGAGAUCCUAAGAAGCUUUGGUCUUGAAAAACUCUUCUCUUUGAGGUGGUCUUCUUUUUCAUGAUUUCUCCUUGACUUGAUUUGUCUUUGGAUUGCCACUUUGGAAGUCGUCUUGCCUAAUCACACUUGAAAUAUGAUCAUUAGUUCUAAACCUUGUUUUGUUAUCAUCAAAAUCAAGAUUAACCAAACCUUGGUUUCACAGUAACGACUUGUUCCCAACCAUAUAGAUAUUGUCCGCUUUGGACCCAAAUGGGCCCUCACGGUUUUUAAAACUCGUCUACUUGGUUAAGAGGAACUUCUACAUAUAUAGCGUCAGACUUUCCCCCCUAUCCGAUGUGGGAUGUCACAAACACCCCCCUCCCCCCCUCCAUGUAGACACAACGUCCUCGUUGUGUCCCAUGGGAUUGUAGGGUUAAAUAGACAAACACCCCUUAUGAGGUCAAACAAACCCCAACACCGGGGUCGGGGAUCGACUCUGAUACCAUUUAUCAGAAUCCGUACUCAAUUAUAUAUAUAUUGUCCGCUUUGGACCCAAAAGGGCCCUCACGACUUUAAAACGCGUAUACUUGGUUAAGAGGAGUCUCUACACAUAUAGCACCAAGAACUUUUCCCCCUAUCCAAUAUGGGAUGUCACACUAUAUAUGUGUAACAAUUUUUCUUUAAAAAAAUUAGAGGACUUAAAAUGGGCUCUUGUCAACCUUAUUGAUAUUUGAUGUCAAAGGGAUACAACCAACCACCACAAAUAAUUGAGAGAAAAGAAAGGAAAUAAUAAUAAGAGGUAGGCCCCGGGCUCUUGUGAACCUUAUUGAUAUUUGAUACCAAAGGGAUACAACCAACUCCCACAUUUAAUUAAGAGAAAAGAUUGGGAUAUCCUCACCACCAUGUCUAGAUUGCUUUAGUAGGACCAAGAGAAGUCAUUCAGCAUCCAAAGAUCCUCUUCUUCUUCUUCUUCUUUUAAUUCUAAAUGGAGGGACAAUGUGUUCUUGAGUUUCAAAGGUGAAAAUACUCACAAAAGCUUUACUAAUCAUUUCUACUGUAUAUCUUUACUUGUAAUAAAUGUAUAAGAUAUUUGUAUUAACUGUAUAAAACAUGUACAGACCUGUAUAUCUUGAAUUUAUUAAUAUGUUUUUCUUCAUUUUCUUUGUUUUCCAUACCAAAAUACUAAAAAAAUUAUUUACAUAAUUUUUUCUUUUCACAUUUUCAUAUGUAUACAAGACACUUAUACUAAAUGUACAAGAUAUUUUCAUAUUUUGACUAAUGCCUAUACAAAUAUGCAAAUAUAUUGACAAUAGGCAAACUCAUACUAGUCUUGUAUAGUUAUGACAAAUGUCUUAUACAUUUAGGGUGUGUAUACAAUGUUUUCUAAUUCUUUGUAUAGUUAAUACAAAUGUCAUAUAUAUUUUUGAAAAUGUAAAAAAAAAAAAAAGAAGUUAUAUUUGACAUUUACACAUUAUAUAUAAACAAUAUUUCAAUUUAAUAUGGAAAAUGAAAAAAAUGCAAAUAGAUAUAUGUGAAGGGUAAAAAGAGUAUUUUUGUUCGUAAAAUUUCAUGUACUUAAACAUGAAGUAUGCAUCUUUUCACAGAUGUUGGCCAAAUUAUGAACCUCAAACACAAUUGUUUUAAAGAGAAAUGUGAAGAAAAAGAAUAUGAAUGGUAGUUGUAAGAAAAUUAAAAAAUAAAAUCAUUGACUCUUCACUCUACCAAACUAGGGAUGACAACGAGGCGAGUUUGGGAUGGGGCCUCGUUCCGUUUAACUUUUUUUUUUAAUUACUUAAAAUUUUUUUAAUUAUAUUAAAAUAAAUAUAUUUUAUAAAUAAUUAAAUUAUUAUAUUUUUAUAACUUAUUUUAUUAAAAAAUAUUUUUUUUAUUAUUUAUAUAUUAAAAAUAGUAAAAUUAAAAUUAAAAUUAAUUUAAUUUUAAAAAUUAAUUUUAUAUAUAAUAGGGGUGGAGCAAGAUAAGGCAAUAGCUGAAUCUGUCCUGGGUUUUAAAAAGAUUCCCAAACCUGUCCAAAACUCAUUUAGUUAAAAUUGAAACUCAUCCAAUUACGAGCGGGUAUCCGAAAAAACUUGUCCUAUUGUCAUCCCUAUACCCAACCACACUAUCAUCCAAUGAAUAAAACGAAAAUAACUAAAAUUAAGGAACAACCCAAGAAUCAAUGACUUCCUAGCAAGCCCAUCCAUAUCCCAACACGGACAAAAAUAUUUUAAUUUUUUUGCCUUAAAAAUCACGCAUGAAGCUUCCUAGAAAUUUCAUACUUCUUUGUCAUUAUCUAUAUUUUCUACUUCUUUUUCAUCGUCAAUAUUUGUGUAUAUAUAUAAAAUAAAACUUGCAAGAAAAUACAAAAAUGAUAGAUGGCAAAAUGGUUUUUAUGUUAAGAAGGUUCUAAAUUUUUCACACCUUUACAGUAUAAAAAAAAAAAAAAAAAAAAACUUUUUAAAUACAGAACUAUUUCGGACUUGAAUCAUUUUGAAAUUCAGAGACUUGAAAAGUGUUUGUUGGACUUGAAGGAGUUUGGAGUUAAUCUUGAACUUAGAUAUGUUUAGAAAUCAAAGUGGAUUUGAAGAAGAUUGAAAUCCACGACAUGACAACACUGUAAUAUGAAUAGUGUUUUGUCAAAAAAAAUUACUAUUUACUAUUUACUAGGGCAUAAAAGAAAAAUACAAAAUAAUACUCUAAAAAUGCGAAGGAAAGAUUGUUGGUCGUUGAAUAAGGGGAAAAAAAAGAAGAAAAGUAAAAUGUGAAAAAAAAAAGCUUCAAGAGUGCAAUUAAUAAUUGUGGUAGGCCCUGACUUUUGUCUUGUGAACCCGCCUAUUAUUGAAUGGAAAAGGGAUAUAGCCAACCAAAAUAAUUGAGAGUAAAGAAAGGAACACCUCACCACUAUGCUCCAAAUUGAGAGAAAAACAAAGUCAGCCGGCAUCCAAGGACAUUUUUAUUAAAAAAGUAAAGAAAAGAAAUGGUGCUUUAGCUAUUAUCAUAUCAACUCCUAGGAAAUAAAUGAAAAGAACAAGUAAAUGAAAAGAAACAAAAAAAAAAGUUCUUAGAAUGCAAAAAGAAGAUAUUGGAUAUUGAAUGCCCAAAAGAGAAAAAAAUAAAAUGGUAAGAUGUAAAGAAAAGAGUCAGAAAAGCUUCACAAUUGCAAUUAAUAAUUGAGGUACGACUUGGACUUUUGUGAACCCUCACUGUUAAUGCUAAAGGGUUACAGCUAAGGAAAGGAUAAAUGGGAGAGAAGAACAGGACAUCCUCACCACCAUCGUCUUAGCAUCAAAGACCCUCUUUUUUCUUCUUCCAAAUUCUGUUCUUGUAAUUUUGUUACAAUCCAACCAUGGCUUCCUCUAGCAAUUCUAAGAGACCCUUUUGUUCUUCUUCUUCUUCUAAUUCUAAAUGGAGGUACGAUGUGUUCUUGAGUUUCAGAGGCGAGGAUACCCGCAACAACUUUACUAGUCAUCUCUACAAGGAUUUGGAUAAGGCCAACAUUAAAACCUUUAAAGAUGAUGAAGAACUUCGAAAGGGAGGAGAGAUUGCACCCGAGCUCCUAAAAGCUAUUGAAGAAUCAAGGAUCGCCAUUAUCGUCUUCUCGAAAACCUAUGCUCAUUCCAAGUGGUGCUUGGAUGAACUCGUCAAGAUCAUGGAGUGCCAGAAAGAAAAGGGACAAAUAGUUUAUCCCGUUUUCUAUCACGUACGGCCGUGUGAAGUCAGGAACCAGUAUGGGACUUAUGGAGAAGAAUUUAAGAAACACGAGAGCAAUGCGGACGAGGAGAAGAAGAAGAAAAUAGGGGAGUGGAGGACUGCCUUAAGGAAAGCCGGUGAUUUGAGUGGAUUUAGUCUGCGGGAUAGGUAAUCCCUACUUCACUUUUUCCAUUUCCAAUUUUCUGUCAGUUUAUUUUCAUUCUUGUUAGUAAAUAAAAUAUUUAUGAUUACAUAUAUCAAUCAAAAUCCAGUUUUUAAGUAGUAGACAUUAAUAUGUUUGAUUUCUUGGAAAGUAAUAAGAAGAGUUAAAAAUAAAUAAAAAUAAAAAUUUAAAAAAUUUGAUUUUCUUAUAUUUAAUGUAUUAUUAAAAAAUAUGAAAGAAAAUAAAAAUAUAAUUAAAAUACAUUGUAAAAAUAUAUAUAAUUAGUUUAUAAUUAAAAUAAUCUUAGAAAAUCUAUAGUAGUUGUUCUGGGCUCAUUCAGGCCCAACAGGUAAUCCCUAUUUCACUUUUUCCAUUACCAAUUUUCUGUCGGUUUAUUUUCAUUCUUGUUAAUAAAUAAAAUAUUUAUGAUUACAUUUAUCAAUCAAAAUCCAUUUUUAAGUAGUAGACAUUAAUAUGUUUGAUUUCUUGGAAAGUAAUAAGAAAGAGUAAAAAAAAAAAUUGACUUUCUCACAUUUAAUUUAUUAUUAAAAUUAUAAAAGGAAAUCAAAUAUAAUUAAAAUAUAUCGAAAAAAAAAAUAUUUGCCUACAAUUGGGAUAAUAUUAGAAAAUCUAUAGUAGGUGUUGUGGGCUCAUUCAGGCCCAGGUAAUACUGGUAAAAAAAUAAAAUAAAAUAAUUAUGCCAAAUGCCAAGUUUUGAAUUGUUAAAAAUCUUUAAGAUUCCAAAAUAUUCUUCCUUUCUAAUCAAUCCAUCUCAGCCAUAAUUUCUAUCAAUUAAAUUGUUCAAAUUGGUUAUUUAUAUGCUUUGUAAAUUUGGAGAUAAUCUGAGAUGAUUAUUUAAAAUAUUGUAAUACUACCCUAAAUUUUUUUGGACCCUCUUAUGGGACAAAAAACUUAGUUAUUGCACCCUUAACCUUUUUCAAUUUUAGAGGAAUUUUCUAUUACUAAAAUAAUUUUCUCAUGUUCUCUGUGCACUACAUGAGUUUACAUUUCUUCUUUACUUAAUAUUGUUUGUUCCUCUAUAUUUGCAAGUUGAUUAUUAAAUUUAUUUACCUUUUAAUCUAAUGUUUGUAUCUCGUUUUAUUCUAAUUAUCCCAUGACAUCUGGAUAAUCUCUUCUUAAGACCUUGACAUGACAUAAUGAAAUUUUAUUUAAACAUGCAAUUCAACACAUUUUUAAUUUACAUUCUAUUUGACCUUAAUUUAAUUGCACCGAACUAAAGAUCAUUCUAUAAUUUCCAUUUACUUCAUCUUUGUUUUCUUUGACAAUUGAUUGUAGCUUACUCCAUGUUUUAUUGUACUUUAUAAUGGACAGAUCUGAGGCAGAGUUUAUUGAAGAAAUCAUUGGUGAGAUUCGAAGAUUAAUUCCUAAGUGGGUACAUGUUGGUGAGAAUAUUGUUGGAAUGGAUGAAAAUUUGAAAAAAGUGAAGUUAUUGAUAGAUGCCCAAUCAAAUAAAGUGAGUAUGGUUGGGAUUUAUGGGACUGGUGGGAUUGGUAAAACUACCAUCGCCAAGGUUGUUUACAAUGAUAUGUUAGAUCAAUUUAAAUGUCACAGCUUUCUUGAAAAUGUGAGAGAGAAAUAUGAAGAUAAAGGUGAUUUGCUUCAAUUACAAAAAGAACUUCUUUGUGAUAUCCUAAUGGAGAAAAAUCUGGUGUUAAGGAAUAUUGAUGAAGGAUUUAAAAAGAUAAAGAGUAAGCGUCACUCUGAAAAGGUUCUUAUUGUUCUUGAUGAUGUAGGUUGUGAAGAACAAUUAAAAUUCUUAGCUCCUAAUUCUGAAUGUUUUCAUCCAGGAAGCAUAAUCAUUGUGACCACGAGAAAUAAGCGUUGCCUAGAUGUAUAUGACUCGUAUUCAUCAUAUGAGGCUAAGAGAAUGGCAGACAAGCAAGCUGAGGAACUCUUUUGUUGGAAUGCCUUCAAGCAAGACCAUCCCAUAGAAAAUUUUGUGGGCCUCUCUAAUCGUAUACUGGAUUAUGCUGACGGCCUUCCAUUGGCUCUUGUAGUUUUGGGUUCUUUUCUCUUUCAAAGGCCUAUGGAUGAAUGGGAAAGCACAUUGGAUGAACUCAAAACAAUCCCUCCCGAGAAUAUUCAAAAGGUACUCCAGAUAAGUUAUGAUGGACUAAGUGAUGAACGCAAGAAGUUGUUUCUUUAUAUUGCAUGCUUCUUCAAAGAUGAGGAUGAAAAAAUGGCAACAAGAAUACUAGAAAGUUGCAAAUUACAUCCCGCUAUUGGACUAAGAGUUCUUCAUGAGAGGUGUCUUAUUUCUAUAGAGGACAACACUAUAAGGAUGCAUGACUUGUUACAAGAAAUGGGUUGGGCAAUUGUUUGCAAUGAUCCAGAACGUCCAGGAAAAUGGAGCAGAUUGUGCGAAUUACAGGAUAUUGAAAGUGUAUUAUCACAAAAUGAGGUAAGAGAAAAAUACAUGAACAUACUUGAGAUCUAAAGACAUAAAAGAUUCAACAAGAUUUAUUUUUAUUAUUAUUAUAGUUUGAGUAUAUUAUCUAUAUAAUUUUAGUGAAUCCCUAUGCAUCUUAUACUGCUCAUUCUCAAUCCUUGUUUUCAGUGGACAAAAAACAUUGAGGGGAUUUUCACAAGUCAGUCUCGCCAUACAGGAAAACAUAUACAACUUACUACUGAAGUUUUCAGAAAUAUGAAUCAACUUAGAUUGCUCAAAGUCGAAUUCAAUCAGAUCGUGCAGCUUUCCCAAGACUUUGAAUUGCCUUGUCAUGAUUUAGUAUAUUUUCAUUGGGAUUACUACCCUUUAGAAUAUUUGCCAUCAAAUUUUCAUACAGACAAUCUUGUUGAACUCAACCUCUGGUGUAGCCGCAUAAAACAUCUUUGGGAAGGAAAUAUGGUAUUGCUAUUAUUUAGUUAUAUUUUUGUUGUAGACUAAUUUUAAAGUCUUUUGAAGUUUACUUCUUGACACAAAUUUUCUUCUGUUACAGCCUGCUAAAAAGUUAAAAGUCAUUGAUCUUAGUUAUUCCAUGCAUCUGGUUGACAUUUCAAGCAUCUCAAGUAUGCCAAAUUUGGAGACUCUAACUCUAAAAGGUUGUACAAGGUUCCUUAAGUGUUUCAUCCAUGCUAAAUGUUAUUAUCAGUCAUGAACUAAUUGUUUUCUUGAAUAUAAUAGGGUGCACGAGACUUAAGAGUCUUCCAAGGAACUUUCCUAAGUUGGAAUGCCUUCAAACACUCUCUUGUUGUGGCUGUUCAAACUUAGAGAGUUUUCCGAAGAUCGAGGAAGAAAUGAGAAGUCUAAGAAAGCUUAAUUUAAGUCAAACAGGUAUAAUGGGAUUACCAUCAUCAAUUAGCAAGCUAAAUGGGCUUAAAGAGUUGGACUUAAGUAGUUGCAAAAAGCUUUCGAGUCUUCCGGACAGUAUUUAUAGUUUGAGCUCUCUUCAAACUCUCAAUCUAUUUGCAUGUUCACGACUAGUGGGCUUUCCGGGUAUCAAUAUUGGAAGUCUAAAAGCUCUUAAAUACUUGGAUUUGUCAUGGUGUGAGAACCUUGAGAGUCUUCCGAAUAGUAUUGGUAGUUUGAGCUCUCUUCAAACUCUUUUAUUGAUAGGGUGUUCAAAACUGAAGGGCUUUCCAGAUAUCAAUUUUGGAAGUCUAAAAGCUCUUGAAUCGUUAGAUUUCUCAGGUUGCAGAAACCUUGAGAGUCUUCCCGUGAGCAUUUACAAUGUAAGCUCUCUCAAAACUUUGGGGAUUACAAAUUGUCCAAAACUCGAGGAAAUGUUAGAGAUGAAACUAGGGGUUGAUCCAUGCCCCUGGCCAUUUUCACCUCUAACCUGUCACAUUUCAAAUUCAGCAAUAAUCUGGGAUGAUCACUGGCAUGACUGCUUUUCCUCAUUAGAAGCAUUAGACUCACAGUGCCCCCUGUCAUCACUGGUAGAAUUAUCUGUAAGAAAGUUUUAUGACAUGGAAGAAGACAUCCCCAUUGGCAGUUCCCACCUAACCUCAUUGGAAAUAUUAUCUCUGGGGAACGUCCCUACAGUAGUAGAAGGAAUCCUCUAUGACAUUUUCCAUCUAUCUUCAUUGGUAAAAUUAUCUCUUACUAAAUGCAAGCCAACAGAAGAAGGAAUCCCCCGUGAUAUUCAGAACCUAUCUCCACUGCAACAAUUAUCUCUACAUGACUGCAAUCUAAUGAAAGGAACGAUCCUCGAUCAUAUUUGCCAUCUAACAUCCUUGGAAGAAUUAUAUCUGGGUUGGAACCAUUUUAGUAGCAUUCCUGCUGGCAUCAGUCGACUUUCCAAUCUAAAAGCCCUUGACUUGAGUCACUGCAAGAAGCUUCAACAAAUUCCAGAGCUUCCAUCUAGUCUACGAUUUUUAGAUGCGCACUGUCCGGAUCGUAUUUCAUCAAGCCCCUUGCUUCUACCUAUUCAUUCUAUGGUCAAUUGCUUCAAAUCAAAAAUUGAGGUAUGAUUCUCAUGCCACGUUCCUUUUUCUUUUGUACCCAUUGGAUUUACAUGGUGCUUUCGUGCAGGGGCGCAAGGUUAUUAAUAGGUAUUCUUCCUUCUAUGGCAAUGGGAUUGGUAUUGUUAUUCCUAGUAGUGGAAUUCUAGAGUGGAUAACGUAUCGGAAUAUGGGAAGGCAAGUAACAAUAGAGCUCCCUCCGAAUUGGUAUAAAAAUGAUGACUUGUGGGGAUUUGCUUUAUGCUGUGUUUAUGUUGCACCUGCCUGUAAAUCUGAGGAUGAAUCUCAGUAUGAAUCAGGUCUUAUAUCUGAGGAUGACAGUGACCUUAAAGAUGAAGAAGCAAGCUUUUAUUGUGAAUUGACAAUCGAAGGAAAUAAUCAAUCAGAAGACGUGGGUCAUUUCUUUCUUCAUUCUCGCUGUAUUAAGGAUGAUGUAUCAGAUAUGCAGUGGGUGAUAUGUUAUCCCAAGUUAGCUAUUGAGAAAAGUUAUCACACCAAUCAAUGGACACACUUCAAGGCUUCAUUUGGUGGUGCCCAAGUGGAAGAGUGCGGAAUCCGUCUUGUAUACAGAAAAGAUUAUGAACAGAAGCAUCCAAGAAUGGCACAAGGCAGUACUUCUCAUGGGAAUUUUGGUGAGCAUGGAUCAGUAAGAGAAGAUACUGAUAGUAAAGCUCACAAUAAAAGGAAUCCCACAGAACAGAGCCCAGGAGAGGAGUCACACCAUAAAAGAUCCAGAGAAACCCAAGACUGAUCUCAAGUAUUAGGCUCAACCACACUUGCAUCACUAAUGCUCUCUUUACUGGUAAUUCAUCUUCCUUUCUCUUUCUAAUUCAAAGGUCAGAAUUUUUUUUUUAUCGUGUUUCUCCUUUUUAUUUGUUUUUUUUUUCCCCAAGACAAACAAAACUUUGAGGCUAUCACCCAUGGGCGCAAACUUCAAUGGUACACCUCCCAAGUUUGUUUUUCUCUCUCUCCAACCGUCUCUCCCUAGAUUUUUCUGCAUUUUCUUCAAACUCAUAUUUCCAUAUGAAAUUCAAUUACAUUCGAGCAUUUCAAUCUCUGUAGCUACUGUCUGAAUCAAUUAUAGGGUUUCUUUUUUCUGGAAGUUUGUAAUGUUAUUGAUUUAAGACUUCAUGUUUGGGGAUGUUUUGGGUGGCUUGUUCACUGGUAUUACUUGUGAUAAUUGCAGCUCUGGUGCUUUCAAUGACUGACAAUAGUUGAAACUAUGUUGAAUGCUUGUACUAAGGGAAUGGACUUCAGCUGCUCCAGGGUUAGUGCUAUAACAUCAGUAUUCACUCUUCAAGAAUGUAUAUAGUUGUUGUUUUGGAAUUUUGAAAUUACUUAGCAUCAGACAAUUUCUAACUCGGGAUUUGGAUUGGGAACCAUAAGUUAUCUCACCCUAGUGUUCUUUGGAAUAAUUAUAGGAUUUUGUAAGUAACUUUGGACUUGUUAGCAAUGUUCUGGAUUUGUGAAUAAUUUAUAGAAUACAUUGGGUGUUUUUUUUUUUUGGUCCAUCAAAAACUUCAAGAACUUUGAGGGUGAAUAAUGUAUGACUGUACUCUUCUCUAUCUCUGUGGUCAUAGCACACGUAUGAUUUGGUGCUUUUUUGCAGGCCUUCAACAGCAGCAAAGCAUCUGGUGGCUUGCAGUACUAAUCUUGCAUUAUAUUCUCUGUUUUGCAAUCAUUUGGUACUUUUUGUCCCAACCAAGGAUAGCUCUGUGCAAGCAGUCUCGACUGUGGAACAAGUAAAACAAAUGGUACCUGCUGAAGCUGAGAGUGCAGAUGAUAAACUGGUGCGGAAGGUGGUCAACCAAAAGAAUCAGACAGCAAAAACUAAAAAGCCCAUGAAGCCUGCUACUGAAGCAGUCUCAGCACCUGUUUCUAGGAGGGGUGAGAUUGAAGUGACUGAAGAAAAGGAGCAUCAGCAAACAAAGAAGGAAGAGGAGUUGGCCAGGAAGGUAGAGGAAUUGAGAAGUGAAGAAGAAGCAGCCAUGUUGAAGGAGCAAAGUCUGUUGGAGGAGAGAAAGCCAACGUUAAGGAGGCA